CAAGAGGGCGAGGAUCCUAGCAAUGGGGGGGAAGGGGAGUGGGUAAGCGGGCUUCUUUCACUUGACUGGUUAGUUAGGAGUGAUCUUUUUUCUACGAUGUUCGAGAUCUUUGUCUCGCAGAGGGUGAAAUGAGAUCUUCUUGGAACAAGGUCAGAGGCGUUGGACGGACCAGUUUCUUCUGAUUCCAAUGAUAGAUGGAUGGUCAGGUCGGUAACAUAUGGAUGGAGGACUUCUACAAGGUCUUCUCAUGCGCUCGACUAGCUAGGCGGUUUUGUAGGCGAACGAAAUAAGUUUUUGGAGGCGAGCGGAGUGAGGCAAUGAAAUUGUUUAGGCGAAAGAAAGGAGAGAACGAGUGGAGUUUCAAGAAUGAGAAUCAUAUAUUUUCUCAUUUCUUUUUUGUAGUAAGAAGACACUAAGAUGCACCCACUACACACCACACACUCAGACGACUAGCGUGGUCCUUCCCCCAUCGAAGAGCCACGUAUCUAGGGUUGACCACAUCAGAUUCAUCAUCUUCCCAAAUUCUCUAUCAUGGAUCUCAUAUCUGAGAAUGGCUCCAAAAUAAAUAGAAUAUCUGGCCAUCAAACUACCUACCAUGGUUGCUCCCUUCUAAGUCAACACAUUAGCUAAAGCUAUGGGGAGCGAUCGAUAUUGAAUUAGAAACCACUAAAACUUAUCAUCAAAAGUUAAUGUACCCUUCUAAAUCAUACCAUGACCCUCAAUCUGUGAGUUCUCAUCACCCAUACCCAUAUAUGAAAUAUAGCUGGUUAUCUACCUAGAUAUCUCAACCUUCUUUUAUUUAUAAUCAGUCUCUCAUAUAAUAUAAUGAUCUCAUGGAACUCUCAUUUUGUAUUCGCACUCUACUGUAGAUACGAGGUGAUAUAAUCUAGACAAAAAUGACUCGAUGUAGUCUAUGCUGAAAGAUCAACUCUAACCCCUCUCACAAGUGUAUGAUCAAGUUAUGGAUGCUCCAUAAGUCUCAUCGGGCCUAGACCAUUGUGCAUUAGAAGGACUACUGUGGCAUGGUAUAAUGCAUAAAAUGCUCGCACCAUACCUGAGCUAUAAGAAUCGAGUGGUUUGGUCAUCCACUAUAACUGAUAUCGAUCAAAAGAAUCCCAUAACUAUAGUAAUCUUCUAAGCCCAGAUAGAUCAAUCUGACUGUCUAUAUUAAAUAUUUCCUACACUUUCUUUACAUACCACCUUAGAUUUUCCUCCUCAAGAGGUGUGUCCGAGGUAUGUGUGGGUGUGGGACUCUACUCCUACUAUACUGGUGCAUCAUGCAUACCUAUUCUAUUCUUUUCUCAAACUGGUCUACAUCUAACUGCUAUACAUGUGUGGUGGUACCCUCCUCAGACUGGGUACUACUAAUAAGUCCUCCUACUGGGUAUUCUUGGAUGAAUUUUGGGACCUCUCCUCAUACUGAAGGUCCUGAGCUACAUCUUGUGUACCUAACUCUAAAGUUUCCUCAUCAUCAUCAUCUUGAUCACUCUGGAUAGAAGAAUAUGAAGAUAAUCUCCGUGCUAACUUCAUCCUUUGUCGGGAUAGAUUUUCUCGUAUAAUCUUGACAGCCUAUAUAACCUCUGUCUGAGACUUGGGUCUAGUGAAAGAUGGCUAUCUCCCCUACUAUGACUACUUAUCAAAUGAAUGUCCCAAAAUAUCCAAUAUAAUAGAAUCGGCUAUCUAGCAGACCUAUCCUCUUGUAACUCUGGGUAUUGCACCACCUGCAACCUCUCUAAGUAGUACAUCCGGGUACUCUUCGACUGAACCACUAGGCUUGGGGGCUCAUCCCAACUCCUUGAUGUCUCCAAAUUUUUAUUCUUAGUUAGUUUUGGUUCUAUGAGUACCUAAAAACUAGUCAUUAGUUUCCAAUAAAAGUGAGGGAUUCCAAAAGUUAAAGAGAAACUCAAAAUUUGAAAAACUUGAAUUUUGCUAAAUUUUCCCACCCCUUUAACCUAUUUGAAAUCCCAACAACUCCAGUGUGUACACAUAUAUCAUAAAUCAUGAUUUUCAAGGAAAAAAAAUAUUCCAAACUAUGGUAUUACUCUAUUUGUAGAAGUUCAACUUUCAGUUUGGGCCUAACCUUAGAAGUUAAUUCAAAACAAGGCCCUACAUCAAGGUUAUAGGCUACUUUAAGGCUCCUACAUACAAGAAUGAUAGAUUAUAAAAAACUUUCAUGGGAAUACAAUUAUCAACUUUUUAAUUUAAUAAAUAAAUCAAUACAUAACCAUUAAGAGCCGAUAAAGUUACCUCUUUUAUGAAAAUAAAAAAGUAAACAAUGAUAAAGCAAAACCAAAGUUGGAACUCAUUUUUAGUGUGCUGGGAGAAUUUGGUAUCUCAAACAUAUUUCAAUUUAGCCUUUACUUAAGUGAUGGGUUUGAUAGGGAUGUUUUAUUUAAAGGGAAAAUUAAAUUUUUGAGGAUUUAAAUGAGUUAGAAUGAGGCUAAAGAUGCUUAAAUAAGGAUAGGGGGCUUUUUUAUGUCUUAACUAUGUGUUGGUGGGAUCAAAAUUUUAAUUAAAGUUUGGGCCCACAAAUGACCUACCCACAGUAUCCAUAUGUGCCUGCCACAUGCUUCCAGACAUGGGGUGAAUAUGCCAUAUACGGCCAGCACGUGCAGGAAAUAUGUGGGCUAAAAUUAUUGGCCUAUUUUCCCGCAUUCUAGACCUAGAAUUUUUACAUGCUCCCAGCUACUUAUUAUCCUAUAACUUGUGUGUAUGGUACCAGAAGUAUAAAUAUGUACUAAAGUCUAUAAUUUUCCAUUCUCAUCAUCAAAAAUUUCAUUUUUCCAAUUUAAUGCAACUUACCUGGCCUGUGUGGGACUUGUAACUAUAAUAGGUUGGUCAUACAUUCCCCUUACUUGGAAAUUUAUGAAUGUAGAAAUCAUACCAUGUUCUGGGUAAGGUUAUAAGCUAAAAACCUACACAAACAAAACAACAAAAGUGGACACUAAAAUAGUGGGUUGCCUCUCACUCAACUUUGAUUUAACUCCGCAGCACGACAUGGUUGUGUUAGUUACUCAGACUUCAUAAACAAGCCCAUGGGUUGCCUCUGAAGCAGUGUUUGAUUUAACAUCGUGGUACGAUACGGGUAACUUAAUUAGUCAUAAUUCAUCAAGAUACCCAAAAGAAUACCCUCCAGUGUUAUCAAUAAAAUCAAUCUCCGGCAGCAGCCUCAUGUCGGCAGGCUACUUCAUUAAUUUUUGGAUAUUGAAUGUGGCUUUGUUACUGUUGAUACUGAAUUUCAGCUCUCCUUUUUCCAUGUCUACGAUCACCCUACCCGUGGCCAUAAACAGUCUCACCAAUAUGAUGGGCAUCUCAGUGUCAACCUUACAGUCUAGAAUAGUAAAGUCAGUCAAGAAGAUAAAGUAUUCCACUCACAAACAGACCAUAAAAAAUUACCACAGGUUUCCUCACCAUAAGGUUAGCCAUUUAUAACCAUAUUGAAGUUAGUUUUAGAGGUUCAAUCCCAAUUGCUUUAAAACAGCCACCGACAUCAAAUUUAUGUUGACUCCUAAGUCAUAUGAGGCUCUGGCAAAUCCGAAUGACCCAAUAGUACAUGGUAUAGUGAAUGAUCUAGGAUAACCCAUUUUCUGAGCUAGAGACCUAGUAGUGACUGUACUACAGUGGUACAAACCAUCAACAUCCUUAAUCAUAGCUACUUUCUUCUUUGUGGCUAGUUGCUUCAUAACCCCGGAAUAUCCAGGCAUUUUCUUCAAUACCUCAAGAAAAGGAAUAUUCAAGCUCAACUCUUUUAAUAUCUCAAUAGAUUGCUUGAAUUUUCCUUCCUCUCUUUUCUUCUUCAAUCGUUGAGGAAAAGGUGGGGGCAAUCUUGGAAUUUGUCUUAUUUUUUCAUUAACUACUGAAUCCUUACCUCUUUUCUUACCAACUACGUCAUCACCACCUAUUGUUUUUUUUUGAGCCGAUAAUAGGUGUCUCAUCAAUAGAACCCUCAUCAUGCCUUGGUUCUUCCACAACAGGUAGUGAGGAAUAUACUGAUCAGUAGAAAUCUUUACCAACCUAGUCAGUAUCUCUUCCAUUCUUAAUUCUAUAUCUCUUUUACUAGGUGGAAUAUACUGAUCUCCCUUUUAACUUUGUAGCCAUCCUUCUCCCUCCAGUCACUAUCUCGCUCACUAGUAUAGUCUAUGUAUCUGUCACAGUAGUUCAGACCUUGGUUUCCUUGUGUAACACCUCAAAAUCUGAUCCUGAGAUAUCACACGGUGAUCAAGGCUACGAGUAGACCCAAGAAAACCCUUUGAGCCUUCUACUAGGUUGGAACCUUACUUUAAGAUAAACUAAUUAAGAAAUAAUAUUGUAUCAUAACAAAACUGAACUGAAUGAACUGAAGAUACCAUCUAAAUAGUAAACACUGAAAGUCUGUAAAUAAACUCAUAGUCUGACAAGCCUCUACUAGUAAAGAACUAGAGGGACAUUAGGGCAGACCCCCAACUGAUUCGGACUAAACUGAAAAUGAUAACUCAAUUACUAUAAAAACUAGAAAUCUGAAGAUAUAGGUCCUCGAAUCAUGAGGACUCACCAACUGUGGGAGCAUAGAUAGAGAUGCCUGAACUACUCACACUAUUGAUACUGAGCAACUGAACCUACAUUAUUAGACAAUGUAGCAUAUAGACAUAUAUGUGGAUCAGCACUUUGAGGAUGUACUGAAUAUAUGGGGGUGUAAUGCAUAAGUAAGACAUCAUCGUAAUUAGAAAGUAAAUUUAUGCUGGAUGUAUAUGACUCACAUAAGCUUGAUUAUCUAAAAUAAUGAAAUAUAAAAUCAUGAAUAACAAAUUAUACUUGUUAAUCUAGUAAGUAAUAACACUUAGUCUUAUAAAAGCUUUUCUAUCAUUCUUUUCUUUCAAAGCUUAGGAAAUUUGGGAGCUUUGAAAAUUUUGGAACUUUGGGACUUAGGGAGUUUCUUCUAACCGACACAAACCAUGUGAGCUUACAUGGAGUCCAACGUCUUUCCUACGCUGGGGAGAGUUGUUCUACCCUUACCAUCGGAAUAGAACCUUAACUUAAGUGAUCACUAUCUUAGCCCACUAUGGACAUUUAAAACCUAUGGUGGCUCGUAGUUCUGGGCAUGAGACCUUGGAAUCAUACCCAACUCAGUGCUAAAUAUUACUCCCAUACUUAUUGCUCAGAACUUUUAGGAAAUCCACCUUAAAAUUGCAUAAGGGUUCGUAAUUAAAACCAAUUAUCCUUGUCUUUAUUUUAAAUCAUAAACCAUAUGAAUAAUGUGGAUUCUUAUCUUUCCUUAGGGUUAAAUUAUCAAUCUUUUCUUUUGAAAGCACUAAUCAAAACUUGUCAAUAGGAUUUGAGAUCAUAAUCUCCUUGUAAAAUCAUCAAUAGUACUUAGGACCCAAAGUAUAAAGUUGUAAUGCAUCAAUCAAUAAUCAGAUUUAAACUUCAUGCUCAAUAAUCAUCUUAAAAGCUUUGAACAAUCUUAGUCAAGAUAAUGGUAUAUAACUUAUAAUACGAAUCUUAGAAUAGAAAACAUGAAUAUAUAUAUAAAUUUCUUGCAAUCGGAGCCUUAAAUAUCAUAAUAAUGUCAUAAAAUAAAAUAAUAAGGAUUUAGGUAUCAACCCUAACUUAAAUUUCAUGGGAAAUCAUAGAAUAUUCUGUAAAAUUGAAAUCAUAAUUAAGUUUUGGGCACAAGAAUGAAAGGUUUACCCUUGUUUAAAACCGCACAUACCUUGGAUGAUGAACUAGAUGAACAAGAUUGCUUUUGAGAUUCUAUUCGUGCUCUUGAAUGAUGAUUCUUGGAAUUCUUGAAUUGGGAACUUUGAAUCUUGGUCUAAUUUGGAAAAAAAUAAGGAAUCUUGUGGGUUCUUGAGAUUGAUUGAAGUUUAGGGUUUUGAUUGAGAGAAAUUUGAGAAAUAUAUAAUAAAAUGCAUGUAAUAGACUUAAGUUUUGUGUUUAGAUGGUUUUGGGGGAUGGGAAAAAGUCAAAAAUACCUUCUUUAAACUCCUACAUUAAUCUGGAGAAAUGUAACUGGGUCCCGAUUUAAUGGGCCACCAUGACGCACCACUAACGUGGUGGCUCACUGGAAAUUGACAAAAGGGAAAUUGGAGACCUCCACGGCGUGGAGCUAUUGUAUUGUCCCACCGGAUUUUAACAAUUAGUAGAUAUAACUUCAACGCAACACGCCACCAUCACGGUGACCUAUAGAAAUGCCAUUUUGGCCUUCGGUGCGAUGCACCACUAUAGCAUUGGACUAUUGGAAUUUGAUAAUUAGAAAAAUGGACCUCUCUGUGAUGAACCAAUAUCGUGGAGGUCCACUGGAAAUUGGCAAAUGGUAAUGUGGACCUCGCCGCAAUGCGUCAACAUAUAGAAAGUGGCAAUUAUGAAAUUGUCCUUCACCGCAACGCGGUGUCUGCCCAAUUGGCACACUGUCAACUUAAAAAUGCUUUAACUUCUUCACCGAGUGUUGGAUUUGGGAGAAUUUGGUAUCGAUAGAAAUCUUAUUCAAUUUUCCAUACAAUAAAAAGUCAAAAUCUAGAAAAUUCUAUAUGAAACAAAUAUUAUUCAUUUUGGAAGACAUCCCUUAACAUUCUAGGAAUGAAUUUAAGCUUGAACAAGUUCGGGGUAUUACAAUAUCUCCCUCUUGAGAACAUUCAUCCUCGAAUGUGGAUAGUGAAACUGAGAUGCUGAAAAUUGAUGGCAUAGCUGGUAUAUACAAUUGAAAGCAUGACUCAAUUGAUUAUAAAUUCAUGAACUAUCAAAUGAAUGUCUAUAUAAAGCUGAAACUUAGACUGAAAUAAGAUGAUCUGAGGAAACUUGUUACCUUAAACUGAAUCUGAAUCUACAGCGAAAAGAUGUGGGUACUUGGUCCGCAUAUCUGUUUUUGCUUCCCAAGUGGAUCCCUCAAAGGAUUGAUUUCGCCAAAGAAUAUUGACUAGGGAGACUUCUUUAUUCCAUAGCCUACAAGUAUAAUGGUCAUGGAUCUCAACUGGAAUUUCUUCAUAAGAAAGGCCAUUAAGGAACUCUGUACUUUCUAAGGGUACUACAACUGCUGGAUUACUAAUACAUUUCUUCAACAAAGAUACAUGGAAUACAGGAUGUACGAACGAUAAAUCUGUUGGAAACUAGAGCUCAUAUGCCACUUUCCCAACACGACUCAAAAUCCAAAAGGGACAUACAUAACGAUGACUAAGCUUCCCCUUCUUGCCAAAUCUCUUCACCCUUUUCAUGGCUAAAACUUCCAAAUACACAAGAUCAUCAACGUCAAACUCAAGAUCUCUUCUUCUUACGUCUGCAUAGGAUUUGUGACGACUUUGGGCUGCUUUUAAUCUCUUUCUAAUUAACUAAACUUUCUCCAUGGCUUCACACACCAUGUCUAACCCAAUCAAAGCAUCCGCACCCACUUCGAACCAACUAACCAGCGAUCUAAAUCUCUGCCCAUAGAGAGCCUUAUACGGAGACAUCUAAAUGAUAGCAUGAUAACUAUUAUUGUACGCAAACUCAAUCAACAACAAAUGCUCAUCCCAAAAACCCCUGAAAUCAAGCACACACACUCUCAACAUAUCUUCUAGAGUCUGAAUGGUCGUCUCUGCUUGACCAUCAGUUUGGGAUGGUAAGUGGAACUAAGUAGAACUUGGGUACUAAGACCCUUCUAAAAAGAUUUCCAAAAUUGAGAGGGAAACUGAGUGCCCCUAACUGAGAUAAUGGACAAGGGAACUCUAUUAAAUUUGACUAACUCUCGAAUAUACAACUUAGUAUAAUCCUCAGCUGUAUAGAAUGUAUGGAAUGGCAAGAAAUAAACUGACUUAGUCAAUCUAUCCAUAAUAACCCAAAUUAAAUCAUGCUGACGUCGCGAAUGAGGUAACAUUGUUACAAAAUCCAUGUUCACCUCUUCUUACUUCCAAGUAGGAAUAUUGAACUCUUGCAAAACACCAUCAGGCCUUUGGUGCUCUACCUUAACCUAUUGUUAAGUUGCAUACGUCACUACAAACUCUCCUAUAUCUCUCUUCAUACAGCUCUUCCAAUAGAUUUCUCACAAAUCUUGGUACAUUUUAGUAGCACCGGGAUGAAUGGAGUAAUGCGCACCAUACGCUUUACCAAUAAUCCUCUACCUCAAAUCAUCAACAAAUGCUACACAUAAUCUAAUCUGUUAUCUCAAUACACCAUCUCCCCCUUGAGAGAAAACCUCUGCCUAUUGGUCUUUAACCGACUCCUUCAACUUAACUAAGAUGGGAUCCUGACACUAUUUCUCCUUCACCUCCAAAACUAAGGCAUAUUCUGCUCUACUCUACACCCAAAUGCUACUCUCAGUCGAAUCAACCAAUCUAACACCCAACCUAGACAAAUAGUGCACUUCUCAAGCUAAAUCUUUCUUAUCACCCUCCACAUGAGGAAACUGCCUAUAGAUAAUCUACUAAGGGUGUCUGACACUAUAUUGGCCUUACCCUGAUGAUACAAGACACUCAUUUCAUAAUAUUUCAACAAUUCUAGCCACAUUAUCUAAUGGAGGUCUAACUCCCUCUAAGUAAACACAUAUUGCAACCUUUUGUGGUCCGUGAACAUAUCAACAUGCACCCCAUAAAGAUAAUGUCUCAAGAUUUUCAAAGCAAAAACCACAACAGCUAGAUCAAUAUCAUGGGUUAGGUAAUUCUUUUCAUGAGGCUUAAGUUGUCUAUAGGUAUAAGCUAUGACCUUACCUCUCUACAUCAAAACACAACCAAACCAACUCUAGAGGCAUCAUAAUAAGUGACAAAACCAUUUGUACCAUCAGGUAAUGCUAAGACUAGGGCUAAAGUGAGGCGAGUCAUCAAGUCCUGAAAACUCUUCUUGCAGGAAUCUAACCACUAAAACUUAAACUUGUUUUGAGUCAACCGGGUCAUAGAAGACGUAAUGGAUGAAAACCCGUCGACAAAAUAUUUGUAAUAGCCAGCUAAACCUAAGAAACUCCUAAUGUCUGAUGGAGAGACAGGUCUAGGCCAAUUUAUUAUGGCUUCUGUCUUUUGGGAAUAAACUCUAAUACCUUCCAUGGAAAUAAUAUGACUUGAGGAAAGCAAUUAACCUUAGGAAAAAUUCAUAUUUUCUAAAUUUGGCGAAUAACUAAUGAUCUCUAAGAGUUUGCAACAUAAUUUGGAGGUGGUCUGCAUGAUCAUCCUCACUAUGAGAGUAGACAAGAAUAUCAUCGAUAAAUACUAUGACAAACAUAUAUAGAUACUACUUGAACACUCUGUUCAUGAGGUCCAUGAAAACUAUUGGGGCAUUGGUUAGCCCAGAGGACAUGACUAGAAAUUCAAAAUGACCAUAGCAGGUUAUGAAGGUUGUCUUUGAAAUAUCACAUUCCCUUGCUUUAAGUUGAUGAUAACCAAAUCUAAUGUCUAUCUUUGAUAAAUAACUUGCACCUUGGAGUUGGUCAAAUAAGUCAUUAAUUCUAGGAAGAGUAUAUUUGUUCUUGAAUUUGACUUUAUUCAACAUACGAUAGUCAACGCACAUAUGCAAAGAACUAUCUUUAUGUCACACGAAUAGGAUGGGAGCACCCCAUAGAGAAACACUAGGUCUUAUGAAACCUUUGUCUAGAAGAUCUUUGAGUUGCUCUUUCAACUCCUUAAGUUCAGCAGGAGCCAUAUGAUAUGGAGUUAUGGAAAUAGGCCGAGUAUCAGGAAUAAGAUCAAUUCCAAAUUCUAUUUCCCUAUCAGGAGGUACCCCUAGAAAAUAUUUGGGAAAGAUAUCAGGAAACUCAUUAACUAUACCAACUGACUGAACUAUUGGAGUCUCAAACUUGGUGUCUUUGACUUGAACUAGAUUUUAGAUGCACCCUUUUGAGAUUAACUUCCUAGCUUUAAGAUAGGAUAUGAAAUGACUUUUGGGAGAUACGAAAUUACCUGACCACUUAAAGACUGGCUCAUCGGGAAACUGAAACUUCACUACUCUGGUGCGAUAAUCUAUCGAUGCAUAACAUUAAUGGAUCCAAUCCAUACAAAGAAUAAGGUCAAAGUCGACCAUGACUAAUUCUAUAUAAUCUCCAAACAUGAUCUUAUGAAAGAUAGUUAUGGGACACUGUCUAUAGAUACUUUUAGCAAUAACUGAUUCCCCUACUUUUAUCUCUAUUUCCCUGCUUAUUAUAUGGGCACUCUCUAAUUCCAAGACCUAACUUUCCAUAACUAAAACAACCCUUCUGACCAGCCAAGCACUUACCACAAUAAGUUCUAGUAUGUAUGAAGGAUAAUUGGGCCUACCACUCACAUUAUUCUGGGAUCUAGACAUAGAAGACUUACCACAUUGCUCUUGUCUACCUCUGGGAGUGAGAGCACUAGCUGAAGACGGCGCUGGCAAUGGCAGAUAACUCUAAAACUGCGAGUGAUUUCCCCCUAUAAACCUUGACUAACCAUACUCAAACUACCCAGUUCUAGACUUCUUAUUCCUUCCCUCUCUUCCCUUUAACUUUUCUUUCUCGAUAUAUUAGGCACAAGUUAUCAAUCUAGUAGGAUUUAUAUCUCUAAUAAGCAUGGCAGUACUAUACUCCUUGACUACCAAUCCUAACACUCCAGUAAUGAACUUACUCAUACUAGAUCUGGUAUCAGUUAUUAACUCAAGAGCAUACUUAGAUAACUGUUUGAAUUUAAGGCAGUACUCUUUCACUAUUAUUGAACCCUGCCUCAGGUUAAUGAACUUCUCAACCAUAGCUUCCUGCAACUCACAUGGAAAGAACCUGUCCAGAAAAGCAUCUUGGAACAUCUGCCAACUCAUGAGGGCUGCAUUCUCACCCCUACCUUUCUUCCACAUGACAACCCAAUCAUAAGCAACAUCUUUUAACCUAUAAGAACCCAAUUCUAUGCUCUACUCUAUAGUAACAUACAUAACUUGGGUGAUCUUCCUCACCUCAUCAAGAUACAAAUGUGGAUCCUCGCCUACCUUUGACCCAAAGAAUUCAGGCGGGUUCAUUCUUAUAAAGUCAUGUAGUCUUGCUACACUUGAAUUACCUUCUUGUUAAUGUGGGGAUACAACCUAAUUAUUAUCCUGAGCAUUAGCAAUCACGGCUUGGGCUAGUGCCUGAAAUUCAGCCCAAAAUUUGGCAUGAUACACAUUCUUAUUCAGGAGAUCAAUAAGUUAGGGUGGCUGGUUAUUAUUCCUACGGGAAUUUACUCUACGAUAAGGCAUAUUAUGUCAUGAAAUAACAUGAGUUAAUAGCAGGUAGAGAUAGUUGUAAGCACAAUAUAUUAUGAAAGAAAGAUAGUAUUUUCCUAAAAUGCUCCAUAGCCUCUGUCACAUAAAUGUGGUGCGCUUCAUACCCAUGAUCAAGACUCUACGUAAAGUGGCUUGUCCGACUCCGUAGGACUCUUUAAACCUUAGGCUCUAACACCAAGUUUUGUAAUGCCUCAAAAUAUGAUCUUGAGAUGUCACUCGGUACUCAAGGCUACGAGUAGACCCAAGCUAACCCUUUGAGCCUACUACUAGGUCAGAACCUUAAUUUAAGAUAAACUAGUGAAGAAAUAAUAUUGUAUCAUACCAAAACUAAACUAAAUAAACUGAAGAUACCAUCUAAAUAGUAAUUAUUGAAAGUCUAUAAAUAAACUUGUAGUUUGAAAAGCCUCUACUAUCAAAGAACUAGAGAGCCAUUGGGACAGACCCCCGACUGACUCAAACUAAACUAUAAACUAUAACUCAAUUACUAUGAAAGCUAGAAAAUCUGAAGAAGUAGGCCUUUGAACCAUGAGGACUCACUAAUUGUCGGAGAGCAGAUAGAGAUACUCAAACUACUCACGCUAUUGAUACUGAUCACCUGAACCUACAUUAUUAGGCAAUAUAGCAUAUAGACAUAUAUGUGGAUCAGCACUUUGAGGAUGUACUGAUCAUAUGGGCGUGUAAUGCAUAAGUAAGACAUCAUCGUAAUUAGAAAGUAAAUGUAUCCUGGAUGUAUAUGACUCAUAUAAGCUUGAUUAUCUAAAAUAAUGAAAUAUAAAAUUAUGCAUAACAAAUCAUACUUGUAAAUCUAGUGAGUAAUAACACUUAAGUCUUAUAAAAGCUUUUCUAUCAUUCUUUUCUUUUAAAACUUAGGAAAUUUGGGAGCUUUGGAAAUCUUGGAACUUUGAGACUUAGGGAGUUUCUUCUAACCGAUAUAAACCAUAUGAGCUGACAUGGAGUCCAAUGUCUUGCCUAUACUGGGGAGAUCUGUUCUAUUUUUGCCAUUGGAAUAGAACCUUAACUUAAGUGAUCACUAUCUUAGCCAACCAUAGGCGUUCAAAACAUACAGUGGCUCAUAGUUCUGGGCAUGAAACCUUAUUAUCAUACGCAACUCAGUACUAAAUACUACUCCAAUUCUUAUUGCUCAGAACUUUUAGAAAAUCCACCAUAAAAUAGAACAAGGAUUCAUAAUUAAAAAUAAUUAUGCUUCUCUUUAUUUUAAAUCAUAAACCAUAUGAAUAAUGUAGAUUUCUAUCUCAACUUAGGGUCAAAAUAUGAAUCUUUGCUUUUGAAAGCACAAAUUAAAACAUGUCAAUAGGAUUUGAGAUCAUAAUCUCUAUAUAAAAUCAUCAAUAGUACUUAGGACUCAAAGUAUAAAGUUGUAAUGCACCAAUAAUUUAAUCAAUAAUCAGAUUUAAACUUCAUGCUCAAUAAUCAUCUUAAAAUCUUUCAACAAUCUCAGUCAAGAUAAUAGUUUAUAACUCAAAAUACAAAUCUUAUAAUAGAAAACAUGAAUAUAUGUAAAUGUUUUGCAAUUGGAGCCUUAAAUAUCAUAAUAAUAUCAUAAACUAAAAUAAUGAGGAUUUGGGUAUCAACCCUAACUUAAAUUUCAUGGGAAAUCAUAGAAUAUUCAGUUAAAUUGAAACCAUAAUUAAGUUUUGGGCACAAGGAUGAAAGGUUUACCCUUGUUCAAAACUCCACAUACCUUAGAUGAUGAACUAGAUGAACAAGCUUGCUUUUGAGAUUCUAUUCGUGCUAUUGAAUAUUGAUUCUUGGAAUUCUUGAAUUGGGAACUUUGAAUCUUGGGUUAAUUUUGAAAAAGAAGAAGGAAUCUUGGGGAUUCUUGGGGUUGAUUGAAGUUUAGAAUUUUGGUUGAGAGAAAUUUUGAGGAAUAUAUCAUAAAAUGCAUGUACUCGACUUAAAUCUUAUGUUUGGACAGUUUUGAGGGCUGGGAAAAAGUUCAAAAUACCCUAUUUAAACUCCUAAAUGAUGCUGGAAAAAUAUAACUGGGUCCUGAUUUAAUAGGCCACGACGAUGCAUUACUAUUGCGGUGGCUCACUGUAAAUUGGUGAAUGGGAAAUUGGGGACCUCCGUGAUGCAAAGCUAUCACAUUGUCCCAUUGGAUUUUGUCAAUUGGGACCUGAAACUUCAAAGCGAUGUGCCACCAUUGAGGUGCCCUAUAGAAAUGCUAUUUUGGUCAUCGGCGCGAUGUGCCACUACAGUAUUAGACUACUGGAAUUCUACAAUUUGGAAAAUGGACCUCUCUGUGAUGCACCAAUAUCACGGAGGUCCACUAGAAAUGGGCAAAUGGGAAUUUGGACCUUACCGCAUAGUGCUAACAUCACGGUGGUUCACUGGAAAGUGAUAAUUAUAAAAUUCUCUUUCAUCGCGAUGUGGUGUCUGUCCAGUUAGCGCACUGUCAACUUAAAAAUUCUCUAACUUCUUCACUGAGUGUCAAAUUUGGGAAAAUUUGGUAUCGAUUGAAAUUUAGAAUAUUCUAUAUGAAACAAAUAUUAUUUAUUUUGCAAGACAUCCCUUAACAUUCUAGGAACAAAUUUAAGCUAGAAAAAGUUUGGGGUAUUACACCUUGACCCUGGACUCAGAAACCCGCCAAUUAAUGAUCAAAAUAAUUUACUUCCUCCUCUAAUUCUAACUUGUAAGCUUUGGAAGAUAAACCCUAUGCUCCUACUAUGUUCAUUUUCUUAUAACUAGCUGCUGCGAACUACUUUGCCAGUAACCCUAAAUUGGUUUUUAGAAGCACAAUAUCUUGUGCUAACUAAUCAUAAGCUACUUUUUAGUUGCAGCAGGCACUAACAACAUUUAUGUUAGAUCCUUUCUAAGCCUCCCGAGUUUGCCACACUCAAUUAGCGAGUGAGAUCUGAUCUAACAUAUCUGAAGCUACCUCUUAGCGUAGUCUCAUAAAAGCUCCUCCAAAUAUGGUGUCUUCUAUGUAUCUUGAGCUGAUGGUUAAGGCUUAGUAAAAUAUCACCAAUAAGCUUCUUCUUAAACUUGAACUACUCCUUAUACAUAGACAAUGAUUGCAGUUGCCUAAAAUUAUAAAUCUCGUUCUUCACCUGCAACAGUCUUGAUAGAAGAAAGAAUCUAUUUAACGAUUGUCUACAUAACUUGUUCAAUAUAGUGAUAGAUCCUCUUAGAAGUUCCACUAACCAUAAAGAUGCUUCUCCGGUAAGCUUAAAAGGGAACAAACUCAGUCUAAGUGCUUCCAAAUCUACCCCAGGUAUGGUAUAAGAAGUACAGAUCCUCAUAAAAUUUUUCAGAUAUAUGUUUGCUUCGUCUGUAGGUAGCCCUAAAAUUAGACCCUUCAAGUACAAGAGCUGAAUCAUAGCACUUGAGAUAUUAAACUUGACAUUAAGGGGUAAAAUGGGAGGAAUAAUGGCUCUAGUCUCUGCUAACACAAUGUAUCCCAGAUCUUCUUUAUCAUAUAUAUAUGGAUAAACACACUGAUAUAUUGGUAUAACUUGAACACGGGCACCUCUAUCUCUAUUUUGAUUCCCAUUGAGUGCUGCUUGACGAUCUACUUCUUGUAUUUGCUCAAUUAGAUUUUUAUCCCUAUCUACAUGCUGAGGUUCUUUAGAUUUCAUUCUCUUAUGUUUUCCUUUAGAUAAAAUCUCAUAUUUUGUUAAUCAAUAAUAUGCUAAACUUCUUCAGGAGAAGGGAGAGGCACAACAUCACAAACUUUUUUAGGAAUAUCAUCUUUUUUCUCUUACACCAUCCUAUAAUAUGAUUGAGGGAUCCUUUCUGGAUCAGAUUCACUAGGAGUAAGGGAUUACCUCUACUCCAUGUUCUAUGUAUACACAGACAUAUACACAACUAAAAACAAAAAUAAGAAGAACACCUAAAAAUUUCAACAACUUCAAUUCAUAAAUAAACAUUGUACUCCUCUACAUUACCACCAAAAUUUGGUGAUGUCCAAGCUACAAUUCCACGUUGAAGAUGAUACGGUUGCUACCAAAUAUAGUAACCCAAUAAACAUUGGGGUUGAAUGCCAAGGGAAUAAUUGGAAUCAUCGAUCUCUGUUGUUGUAAUCAACGGGUGGAACUAGAAAAGUAAAUGGGGGCCUUGGGCUUAUAUGGCAUUACAAUAUAUAGGACGGGCACAUGUAGUGCCUGCAUAUGCCCGAACUAAAAUUUUGUGUAGGUUAUAUCUCAGGAUAUUGGACUUCUGACACAUGGUUUACCCAUAUGCGGUCUGCAUUUUGACUUUGCACAUGCGGGAAGUUAUUUUUCAGCUCUUCUUUAAUUGCCACAUAUGUUUUGGCCAUGAACAAUCUAGAAAGUGUCCUGAACAUACAGUAUUUCUCUCAUAAGUAGCCAAAAACACCUUUUUCAUAUUUUUCAUAGACUAAUCAUCCAAAACAUGAGUUCCUACAAAAUAUACUCAAAAUACAUCAUAUCUAAAAAAACAACCUUAGAAACUUGCAUAUUUUCCUCACUUUAAGCGUCAAAAGUGCUAUAUUUCUAUAGAACAUUAGUGAGCUUCCAUACAUAUGAAGUUUAUAUUUAAUGUUUUGGUUUCUUAUGUCUUAGACUGCUUAGACAUGUUUUUAUCUAUAGUCGAGGGCAUGUCUCAAAACUUUAAUGAUAUUCAAUUUUGGUUCUUUGUUUAGAAAUCAUUUGAAUUACUAUGGAUAUUGGGCGGUAUUGGUUGGUUGUUUAUCUGAUCACCGAUCUUCGAUUGUAAACAUGCUUUGAAUUUUUUUAAAAGUAUUGCAUACUAUCUUUUUAUAUGUUCAAAAUUUAUCCAAAAUUGGGGGAUGUUAGGUUUGGUUUGGUUAGGUACAGGGGGUGAUCUCUGGUCCACGUGGGAUUGGAGAUACCCGUUACAGCCAGGACCUAGUUUGGGUCAUGACAAAUAUGGUACCGGAGCCGAGGUUUUCCUUCAUUGGGCAUCCAAUAAAUUCAUGUUAAGUAGAGUCUUAUUUAUGUGUAUAUAGCAUGCCAUACUUAUAAGGGACAGGCUACGAGGCAUUUUUGAAUGUUUCCCUUUCUUGUUGUUCUAUUUUAAGCUAUAAAGUCUAAGGUCUUGAAUCUUCUAUAAUUCUUGUAUGUUCACUUUUUGGAUCAUGUCUCAUAGAAGAUUUUAUGCUUGUGAUAACUUUUCUGUCUCGUCUGAUGACAAUGUGUAUAGAACUCAUCCAACUUCAGAAGUUCAGACCCGAUCAAGGGUCGUUUCUUCUAAUUUCCCUGGGGGACCUCCCCCAGUUCCCCCUAUCCCCCCUCAAGUACCUUGAGUUGAUGUGUCUAAUGCUGAGUUUUGCUAGUCAAUUUAUUUUCUUUACCAAUUAGUAGCCUCCUAGACUGAGUAUGUUGCUUAUAUUCCUUUAUAAUCUGAGGCCACUAGGGCUUGCUAAUUAAUGAGGUUGAGUCCUCCUAUUUUCACUAGUUUCAAAAUUAAGGAAGAUCCUCAAAACUUUAUUAAUAAGAUGGAACAAAUUUUUCUAUGUGAUCCAUGCUACUGAUUUGGAGGGAGUAGAGUUUUCUACUUAUUAGUUGAAGGAUGUCACAUACUAAUGGUAUGAGGAGUGGGACAUGUCUAGGGUUGAUGAUGUUGAGUCCACUUUAUAGGAUUAAUUUUCUAGUGCUUUCCUUGACCGUUUCUCUCCUCAAUAUUUGAGAGAGGCAAAGGCUAUGGAAUUUGUGAAUCUCAAGCAAGGUAGGAUGUUAAUAAAGGAGUAUGCUUUAAAUUUUCAUCAGUUGUCUUAUUAUGAUCAUAAAUUGCUAUCUAGCAUAAAGGAUAGAAUGAGGAAGUUUGCUUUAGGGUUUUCAUAUAAGUUGAUCUUGGAGAGCAAGGCUUCCUUAUUGAACAAAGAUAUGGACAUCUCUAGACUUUUGGUAAAUAUGCAAUAAGUGUAGGAAGAAAAGAAGAAGCAAGCAGAAAUAAGUAAAAGGCAGAGUAAAAAGUUUUGCUAUUUGGAUCAUGGUAGAGGUUAAUAGUAAUGAGGUAGAGAUGGAAGAAAGUGGUCUAAAAAUAAGUAGGGUAAUUCUUAUUCCUACUAUGCGGCUAUUAUGCCUUAUAAAAAGCCAUUGGGUGAUCAUCUUUCUCAGUAUAAUAGUGGGUUUAGUGUACUAGGAGCCAAGUCGCAGGUUGUUGAGGCUUAGUCGGCUUUGUUAUAUCCUCCUUUUAGAUUUAUGGUUAGGUGUAUCAUGUUUUUUGGUAAUAAAAAGAGGAAUAAAUGCUUUAAAUAUGGUCAAACUAGUCAUCUACACAGGGAUAGUCCAUCUAAGGUAUCUUUUGGGACGAAUAAGAUUCUUGUUACUACUUUAUCUACUUCUCCACCAAAGGGUGCUACUUCUGCUUCUGGCUUCGGCAUUUGUCAGACCCAUCUAUAUGCUCUUUCCACUCACCAAGAUUCUAAGGUAUCCCUUGAUGUUUUUACUAGUACCCUUAAAACUUUUUUCUCAUAAUGUAUAUUGUCUACUUAAUCCUGGGUCUACACUCUCUUACGUGACCCCAUAUGUGGCAAUCUAUUUUGGUUUUGAUCCUGAGUGUAUUUCGGACCCCUUUUUGGUGUCCAUCCUAAUGGGUGACUCCAUUGAGGCUAGAAGAGUCUAUAGGAAUUGUGUGAUGUCAGUUCAUGGUAGAGAGACCUUAGUGUAUCUAAUAGAGUUACAUAUGUUGGACUUUGAUGUGAUUUUGGGGAUGGAUGGGUUACAUUUGUGUUAUGCAUCUCUUCAUUGUAGAACUCGAGAAUGAGUUUCCAUUUCCUAAAUAAGCUGGAAAUCGAAUGGGAAUUUAGUUCCCUAAUGCCUAAGGGAAAUUUUAUUUCAUAUCUUAGAGAUCAGAAAUUGGUUUCCAAAGGAUGCCUCUAUUGUUUAGUGCAUGUUAAGGAUUCUAGAUCCGAAGGUCUUUCUUUGCAGACUAUCCCUGUGUUCAAUGAAUUUUCUGAGGUGUUCCUUGAUGAUCUUCCUACUGUACCUCUCAAUAGGGAAAUCAAUUUUGGGAUUGUUCUUCUUCCGAACACUUGUCCUAUUUAUAUCCUUCCUUAUAGGAUGGCUCUGACUGAGUUGAAGGAACUUAAGGAGCAGUUGAAUGAUCUUCUUAACAAGGAAUUUAUCUGCUCUAGUGUAUCUGCGUGGGGUUCUCCUAUUCUCUUCAUGCGCAAGAAGGAUGAUUCCCUUCGGAUGUAUAUUGAUUAUGGUUAAUUGAAUAAAAUUACCAUGAAGAAUACAUAUCCACUUCUGAGGAUUAUUGAUCUAUUUGAUCAGCUUCAGGGUGCUAAGUUAUUUUCCUAAAUUAAUCUUUGGUCUCAGUACCAUCAAUUAAAGAUUAGGUAGGAGAAUAUCCCAAGGACUUCUUUCCAAACUUGAUACAGUCAUUUUGAGUUUUUGGUGAUGUCAUUUGGUUUGACCAAUGCCCAGCUGCAUUUAUGGAUCUUAUGAAUUGGGGUUUACGUUAGUUCUUGGAUAUGUUAUUCAUUGUCUUUAUUAAUGAUAUUUUGGUGUAUUCUAAGACUGAGAAAGAUCAUACCGAUUAACUCUACCUAGUCUUGCAGACCCAAAAGGAUCAAUGUUUGUAUGUAAAGUUUUCUAAGAGUGAGAUCUGGUUGAAUAUUGUAACUUUUUUGGGUCAUAUUGUUUCUAGUGAAGGGAUCGUGGUGGAUCCACAGAAAGUUACGGUGGUUAAGAAGUGGCCUAUACCCACGACUACAUCCUAUAUUUAAAGCUUCUUAGGUUUAGCUGUUUACUAUUAAAGUUUUAUGGAAAUUUUCUUUUCUAUUUUUUCCCCGUUGACACGAAAGAAGGUGAAAUUCUUGUGGUUUAAUGCUUGUGAGGGUAGUUUUGAGAAGCUGAAGGAUCAGUUGACUUUGGCUCCAGUCUUGACUCUACCUGAGGGCACUGAUGGUUUUGUUUUCUAUUGUGAUGUGUCUCGGGUAGGACUGUAUUAUGUGUUUUAAUACAACAUGGCAAGGUGGUUGCAUAUGCUUCUAGAAAUUUGAAAUUUAAUGAAAAGAAUUAUCCGACCUAUGAUUUUGAAUUGUUAGCUUUGGUAUUUGCAUUAAAAAUUGGCGUCAUUAUUUGUAUGGGGUCCAUGUUUAUAUUUAUUCUGAUCAUAAGAGCCUCAAUACGUGUUCACCCAAAAAGAAUCAAAUCUCAGGAAACGGAGGUGGCUUUAGUUGCUAAAGGACUAUGACAUGAGUCUUGACUAUUAUCUAGGUAAAGCUAACGUGGUAGCUAAUACUCUUAGUAGGUUGUCCAUGGGAAGUUUGUCGCAUGUGGAUGAGGAGAAGUGGUAUUUUGUGAUGGAUAUUGACCGUUUGGCUAAUCUAGGGGUCCAUCUCUUGGAUUUCGGGGAUGGUGGUAUGAUUGUUUAUGAGGUGGUGAAGUCAUAUCUUGGUUCUGAAGUAAAGGAUAAGCAAGUGUUGGAUCCUAUUCUAAUGCAAAUUAAGAAUGAUACAAGUUGGUAGAAAGUGAUGGUGUUUGGGAUUAGUGGUGAUAGUAUCUUGAGGUACCAAGGCAGACUAUGUGUUCUCGAUGUUGAGUAGUUGUGAGUAAGAAUUUUGGCCGAACCUCAUGAGUUGUGUUAUACUAUUUAUCCUAGUUUGAUGAAAAUGUAUCAUGAUCUCAAGGAAAUUUAUUGGUUGAAUAAUAUAUAGCAACAUGUGGCUAAUUGGGGGCUAAGUACAUGGUGUGUCAGCAACUAAAAGCAGAGCACUUGAGCUCGGUGGGUUUACUUAAGAGAUUGAACUGCCGGUAUGGAAAUAAGAGAUAAUUAAUAUGAAUUUUCUUAUCGAUCUUAUGCAUUCUCACCUACAAUUUGAUUUGAUUUGGAUCAUCACGGAUAGGAUGACUAAUUCUGCUCACUUCUUGCCAGUGAGGACUAAUUUCUCUUCUAAGGAUUAUGCCAAGUUAUUCAUUGAGAAGAUCAUGAAAUUUCAUGAUACUCCAAUUUCCAUCAUAUAUGAUCGGGGUACUCAGUUCUCAUCUCACUUUUAGAGGUCAUUCCAGUAGGUUUAGGAAGUAAGGUGACCCUUAGUACCGCUUUCCACCAGCAGACGAAUGGGCAAGUGGAAAUGAAAAUUUAGGUCUUGGAAGAUAUACUUUCAUCUGGUGUAUUUGAUUUUGGGGGUGGUUCGGUUGACCACCUGCCUCUUAUUGAAUUUUCCUACAACAACAGCUAUCACUCUAGCAUUGGUAUGACUCCAUUUGAGGCCUUAUAUGGUAGGAGCUGCUGCUAAAAAUCACAAAACUAGCCUUGGACCUAAUCCCGCAUUGCUGCGAUUGCACUAGGUAUACUACAAUCGCGGCUACCAUGAUUGCUGUUGUUGACUUUCUUGACUGGAUGAGAUCACGGUCCUCAUAUUGCGAUUACAGUAACUGAGGCUUAUUUUUACUCCAAGUCUUCUAGAUACACUUCUUUUCUCUUCUUUUGAUCCUUUCUAGCUGAAGUCUACACCUUUCCAUCUCAUGACCUGGAUACCUGCAAAAUAUGGAUAUUAGUGCAUUCAAUCAUACAUAUGUCUUAUUUAUACAUUUAAAUAAUUGAAAUGUGCAUGAAUGUUGAGUGCAAAUGAGUGGCAUUCACCACUCAUCAACACCCCCAACUUAAAGCUUUGCUUGUCCUCAAGCAACCCUACCUCUUUCCAUAGGACUAUGCAUAUUUAUGUCCAUAUUUAAUGACCUAAUGAUCAUAAUGACUUCAAGCUUAGUUAAUACCAUAAUUUAUCUCCUCAAACAUGGGCAAAUCUAUUUUCACAACAUCCCUUAACAUAAAUUGUGAGCUUUCAAGGAUGCAAGAGACUUUAAAGAGAAACCAUGCAACAAUCACUAUUACUCUAGAAAUGAAUUACUUUUGAUCUCAACCCCAUUAUACUCCCUUUUGUCUCAUUUUGAAGGAGAUGACAAAAUCAUCCACCUCAACUUAUUUACAUGCCUCCUAACAAGAAAGAAAAUAUCAGACACCAAGCCAUCAAUUAUGCAAUAAGGAAUUUAAGUAUAAAACUCUCUCUCUCUCUCUCUCUCUCUCUCUCUCUCUCUCUCAAGAACUCUCAAUGCUAAGAAGUACCAUGCCAUUAGCUUGCCCCUAUUUUCAAUCGCCACUACAAUGAAAUUACUUGGUUGAAAAUAAUGAAGGACUUUUUGAGCUUCUAACGUAGGUUUGGGGUAGGGUACGAUAUCUUUUAGGAACAACAUGGUUAUACCAUCCUUGAAUAUCUACAUCACACUAUUCCAUACAACUUUUGAUCAUGGGCCACGUCUUUUGUUUUUAUUCUUUACACAUGUGCCUACUUUUUAUUUCCUUAGUUCACCCAUUUUCUUUUCAUUUCUUUUUCUUACACCUCUUGUGCUUCUCCUUUCUUUGUUGGAUCCUUUCAUUUAUAUUAUUCAUUUGUUCUCAAUACUUAAUCUCAUUGGCACUCACUUAUAACUUUGAGACCCAAAUUUAUCUCUUUCAAUCAUCAUCAUCCCCCAACUUAGGCUUUUAGCCUCAAUUUGCAAUUUUAAGUUGAAGGAGGGCCGGGUUCAAAAGAGGGAUAAAAAUUAAAAGGCUCAUGGCUUGUAAUGUGUUUUACAAAGAAAGGUCUAAUUGCUCAAAGUGGGUGACUAGGGAUAACAUGCUUUUUUGGCUAAAGUGGACUUCCAAAGUCACAAAGAUGGCCUAAGAUCAUCUCCACAACCAAGUACAAUAAAAAUUAGCAUUAUGAGACUAAUGGGGCAAGUUCUGGAUGGUACAAGUUCACAUGAGAUUUGGACGAAUAAGCUCACUAGACACGACAUGGAAAAUUUGCCAAGGAGCAUUAGUUGCCCCUUCCCCUAAAGACAAAAACGGAGUAUUCUACCAAUUUUUACAAGCUAAAAAUUUUGGAGUCAUAAAAAGAGAAAAAGUGUUAAUACAAGAUUUCUCACGUCCGUGCCCUCAAACUUUUUUGAUAGCUUUUUGGACGGAGGGGAAUGUUUACUUUGCAUUUGCACCAUAUGUAAUUUUCUAACUAAGGUACCAACAUAAGCCUUCGUCUCACAUUUUGUCUUUUACAUGGGUAAACCAUAUGGUUACAUAGAUUUUUCCAUAGGUACAAGUGCGAUCCCAUAUCCUAAAAUUCCAUAAGUACUUAUAUUUUCAUUGCAUUUAUGACCUCGAUGCUAUGGGUACUCAGACUUCCCCUCCAUCCACACCUCAAAACCCAAUUAUGAUGCUUUUACCUUAAGAAUGUCGUCACUCAAUCUAUCAUAGGAAAAUGCUCGUUGGAUAUCAUCACAAACAAAAUAAAGAUUACACAAAAAUCUAACAAUGAAUCAAAACUACUCAUCUAUGCAAAUAUGAGAACCAUCAAAGUGCCUGAAUAUUACAACCCAAAAGAAAAUAAAAACAUAAAGAAAAAUCAAUAAUAUAGGCCUAAAUAAAAUGAAUGCAUAGACAGACAUCCCUAACUAAGUAGCUAGCAGUGUCCUCACCGCAUAAAUAAUAAAGCAUAAAAAGAGAUAAGGGUCCACCUAAAAUUUAUCAAGAAUUGCUCUUAUCUGUAGACUCUGCAUCAUUGGCAUCAUCAGGAUUGGACCACUCAUUUAGAGCCUCAUAAUCAAUCUCCACUCAAGAAGAAAGAAGUCUAUCAUGGGGUUUUAGGACCUUUCAUGGGCUCGUCACCCCCUUCCACUUCCUGCUAAAGAACUUAUCUCUCUUCUUUUACCUUUUUACCAUCAUUUUAUAUGUAAUUCAGAGAUCUUGAUGUGAUUUCACAAAGGAUGAGUAGGCUCUCUCCAGCCUAGCAAUGGUAGCUCCUUACUUCUUUUGGUCCUCCCGAUACUUCUCGUAAUCAGAAUGGGACACAUAUGAAUAGUGGGUGGUGGAGAGAUCUCUCAUCUCCUUGGGAAAACUUGACACAAUCUCCCUAAUGGCCAUAAUAUAAACUCAAGUAUCCUCAAGGGUCUUAGUGGUGGAUUGCCUACAAGACUCAGACUCCUCAUAUAUUGACUUUCCCAAAUCGAUCUUUCUUUUUUUGGUUUUGCUUGGUGCUCCCUCUCCUUGAAUUUUCAGAGGAUAGAUCAAAGUGAAAAGGCAUACCUAAGCAUAUCCAGAGUAUUCUUCAACCCCAUAUAUCCUUCAAAGCUCAAUGAUCAAAUAGGGAAAGAAGAGAUAUUUCCCACCCUAAGACUUUCAUGUCAGAAACCACGAGUUGACCAACAUUCAAAAAAAUGCUUUCUAGAAUGCAGGCAACCAUCUGAACCUAAAAAUUUAGGAUUUUUGUCAUAUGGGUUCAAGGGGAGACUCAAAUUCAUAUGAUGUUUAACCAAAUCUGAGCCUCAAAAGUGAAGUCAUUCAUGUGGAUGUUACUCUUAGUUGCGGCCCAUGAGACUUCCUUUUUGGGGCAAAGUCUUUCAACCAACCAAAUUCCCAUUUUCCCCAUUUUUCUUAUAACUCACCCAUGUCUGCAUUUGGAAGCUCAUAGAUGUUGUUGAUUCACUUCGCCCUAAAGUCCACUAUUUUCCCUCGAAUCUUGAUAGUCAUGUAGGAUGGAUUCGAGAAAGACACUACACUAAGAUUGGCGUAGAAUUCAUGGACCCAUUGCUCAUUAGCCUUGUAAGGAUCCAAAGUGAAACACUGCCACCCUGUGGCCACAAGCUUAUCAUGAAAUACCAAAAGAUCUUUUGGCACAUUCUUCAAGAAUAGACCUCUCUCUGAGAGCUGCUUUGUCCAUAGAAGAUCACCAUAGUAGUGAGUGGAGAACUCAGGUGCCAUGAAUUUAAGGUGUUCAUAUUUCUCCGUGAGAUUAUCCUAAAAAAUAUAGAUAACACAACCUUAUCGAUCAUUUGUAUAUUCUUGAACAAACUAUGCUAUGUUGUCUACUAAAGCUCAUUGGUAUAUUCUUGCACAACCUCUACGAGAUGUAUUUGAGACCAGUUUUGACCGCAGCUUUCAAUGUCAAAAAAUUCAAAUUAUGAAGCCCAAAGCAUGUUCCAUAACAAGGAUUUAUGCUUAAAGCAUUAAAAAAGACUACUAGGUACUAAUUAUGCCCCUAGAAUGCAAAAACCAUUAGUGAAUACUCAUUUGGGCAACCUAUCAAACAUUUUGUGUAAACUCUUCAUUUUUCUCAAUUUAAAAUAAAAUUUGGGUACUCAAGACUUCCCCACUCUCAUGCACACAAUAUUCUAGCAACUAAACACCUCACAAUUACAAUUUAUGAAGCCUUUAAGCAUGAAAAACUAGAUUCAGGACUAUCCUAUAACAUGCAUUCUAUUGCUGACUUUCGAUAAUCAUGGCAUAGGUUCGAGGCACCUACCGUAUAAGUAAUGCUGGAGAGAUACAAGAAUGUUGUUGGAAUGCUCACAAUCUUGCCAGACUUGGGGCCAAUUAGAGAGAAUAACUUAAAAAGGGAGUGUUCAGAGAAAGUGGGGUUUGGAUGAUUAUAUGUCUAAUGUGACCACAAUUGAAGUUGGGUUCCUGUAAUCGCAGACACGUGGGUGACAGCAAUCUUCGUAACUAGGGGCAGUUUUGCUCCCCUGUUUUCCUUUGUUCAGCUUAUUUCACAUUUUGGAUAGAUUUUUCCUUGUUCAGUUCAACAUGCAAGAAUUUCACACUUUCCCCUUCUCAAGCUCAUCCAACACACUCUAUAUCGCCAUAAAUGCAUGGGUUAUUCAAUUGAAAAAACAAAACUCUACUCCACAAGAACAAAAAUAAAGGAUAUGAGCCACUCUUGUGGCAUUUGUAGGUUUCCUCCUAUAUAGCACCUUAGUUUACGUCGUGGCACGACGUCUUCCUUCUCUUUCAAGUUGGGUCCUUAAGGGGCCCCUUAUUCGCUCUUUCAAAUUCAACAUCAAUCACUAAUAUCACUUGAAGCUCCAUGGUUAUUUCCUUAUUCUGCAUACUCAAAAAGAGACCUCAUCAUCAUGAACUAUAAACCUCAUUUAACCUAACUCUAAGUCAACAAUAGAUCUUAUAGUUUCCAAGAAAGGUCGACCAAUAAUGAUGGGAACUUCUUGGUCCAUUUCACAAUCUAAAACCACAAUGUUCGCUGAAAGUAUAAAUUUGUCCACUUUGACUAGAAUAUCAAACAAAAUCCUGGCCGACCUCUUUAUAAACCGAUCCACCAUUCUCAUAGAUGUUGGAGAUGGGGUGUCCAAUCCAAUAUUUUUGUAAAUAACAAAAGAAAUGAGGUUUAAACGUGCCCCUAGGUCACAAAGAGCUUUUGCAAGAAUAUAUGAUCCAAUGGUGAUAGGUAUAGUAAAAGCUAUGGGGUCUUCCUUCUUUUCUGCAAUUUUACUACUUAUGAUAGCACUGCAACCAUGGAUGACUUCGAUCGUGUCACCUUCGAUGAGCUUAAUUCUGGUCAUUAACUUCUUUAGAGCUUAGCAUAUCUCGGGAUCUCUUGGACUGCUUCAAGCAAUGGGAUAUUGAGAGAGAGGUUGCUAAGCUUGGCCAUGAAUUUCUUAAGUUUAUAACCCACCAUUUUUAUUUUAAGAAUUUGAUAAAAUGGGGGAGGGACUUGUAUUAUAGGCAUCACAUCACUUUUUGAUUUCUCAUUUUCCACCACCCCUUCAUCAACUUUCUCCGAUUCUUUUUCAUUCUUUUCUUCUUGAGAUUUGGUGGCAUUUCUUUUGAUUUAAAUUUUGGCAUCUUUUCACCCAAAUCAUCGUUCAAGUUAUCACCAAGGGUCUUCCCACUUCUAGUGACUAUUUCUAAAACUUGAGCUUCAUUCUUUGGGUUCACAACUAUGUCACUAGGAGGAUCACCCUUUGGCCUAGCAUUUAAUAGGGUGGAAAUUGGAAUGAUUUAAGUCUCCAAUUAUUUAAUGGAUGUGGAGUGGGAUACCACGAUUUGAUUAAGUUAUGAAAAAUCACCUUUCAUUUCAUGGACUAUUUUGUUUGUUCAUUCCAUCCUUAUCAAAAUAUUUGCCAAGACAUCUUCAGCUUUGUAUUUAGUUGAACUCGACGGUUCUACCAUCUUUGUUCUUUGACCGAUCAUAAGAAGGUACACACCAGUCAUAAUCUUGAUCUCUAUCCCUCUAAUCAUGAUCCAUCAAACCUUGAUUCCUACCUUGCCUUUGAUAGAUAGGGCGGGAACUCCCCGAAUAGUUUACCAAGUACUGAAUCCUCUUAUCAAUCUUUUUACCAUCUUCAUCAUCCUCAUGGGCUUUCGACGCCAUAAAAUUUAUUGAUUUCGUGGGUGUACCCAUCACAUUUUUUUCAUAAGCUCUAAUUGCAUCAUAAUCUUAUCCAUAUUAUCCUCUCUUUCUUUAUCUCAUUUCCUUUUUUCCUUGUCAACUAAAGAUGCAGUGGAAGAACUCUUAGGAACCUCGGGAUCUCGGGUAUGCCAUCCUCAAUUUUUCUUAGUAACCUCCUCAAGCAAUUUAAUUUCCAUAUUAUAAUGCAACAUCACAAAAGAGCACCCGCUGCAUUGUCAAUCGUGGUUUUCUUAAGCAGAUCAAGAGCAUGGUAGAAAAUUUAGAAAAGCAUCUUCUCCAGGACCUCGUUGUUUGGAAAAUUCCUUAGUUUUCCAUUAAAUCUUUCCCACACUUCAUACAAAGACUCUCCAAUCAAUUUCAAAAAGUUGACGAUCCUAUCCCUCAUUUAAAGCACUUUGGAUAAAGAGAAAUACCAGCCAAGAAAGUCCACUAUGAGUUGUACCCAUGAAGUGAUAGACCCAGCUGGAAGAGAUUGAAUCCAUAAUUUUGUAGUUUUCCAUUGAAUGUUUCCCAUACUUUAUACAAAAGCUCUACAUCCAAUUUCCUAAAGUUGAUGGUCUCUUUCCUCAAUUGGAGCAUUUUGGACGGUGGGAAAUACCGAUCAAGGAUUUCUUUGAUGAGUUCAUCCCGCGAGGUGAAAGACCCAACUAAAAAAGAUUAAAGCCAUAAUACCGCCUCUCUCAUUAGAGAAAAUGAGAAGAGACGAAGUCGGAUGGACUCUUACGUUAUGUAUGCAAUAUAAAAGAGUGCACACACCUCUUCAAAAAUUUUCAAAUGAAGGUUGGGGUCCUUAUAAUCUUGCCCAACAAAAAGUCCCUUUAUUUUCAACAUGUGCAACAUGACGGUUGGGAUAUGAAAGACACUAUUCCUAUGAGUAGGUAGGAUAUGGAUGGUACUUGAAUGGCCAACGUCAUUAUAUUGCCCCUCAUCAUCGAGAGGAUCAUCAAAAGAACUGGCUUGACUAGCAUUGUCCCUCAUGGUUCCAUUUAUGCUACAGAGAUCACCAAGAAUAAGACAAAAAUAACAACCAAAAUAAAUAUACACCACUAUAGGUAUGUAAUAAGUAAGAAUCAAUACGGCAUAAGUGAAAACUAAAUUUCACUCCCCUAAAAUUACACCAUUUUGAUGACACUCACCUAUACCAUGUGAUUUAGUAAAGGAAGGUUGUUGUCAAAAUCUCAACUUUUGUUAAGGUCGAAUCCAAAAAAAGCAAAAAGUAAAAUUCUAGUCUUAUGGGUCUUAACAUUUCCUAAUAAAACACUCGAAGUGCAAAUAAAGUAAAAGGCAUGAUUUAAAAUUAGGGGGGUUGGGAGAGUGGGUUAAUAGUAACUCAAUUCCACAAACCACACAACAAUAGUAAUUUAACUUUGAUAUAAAGUGAAUCUUGGGAUUAUGUCUACCUAAGGGAAAAUUAGGUAUAGGUGUGUGUAGAUUUAGUGUACAAGCUAGUUGUUAACAAUGGUAGGCUAGGUCUAGGGUUCUUAAGGCUAGCUUGUCAACAAAACCUCAAGAAUUUUACCUAUUGAACCUUUCAGAUACCUAAUAAAUGAUGUAACUAUAUUCACUUAGCACCUCAAUUGGCUAUCCCUAUUUCUAGGAAGAUACCCAAGAUAUAGUCAACUUCAUGCUCACUCUUAUGUCUAAGAUAGUGAGAAUCGGUAAACUAAAUCCAUUAAUUAUCUACUAUUGCCUUGGUUACCACAUCCCUUUUUCAAGGAUGGUGUGGGUUCUAAAAGUUCACCAAAACCCUUCUUUCAAGGAUGGUUUGAGCCUUCAAGAGUUUGGGGGUUUUACCCACAAACCCAUUUUAAGCAAUUGGGGCUUUCACCCAUAAAUCCCAACCAAUUUAAUCAAGACAUAGUAGAACCCAUUAUCAACUAACAAGCAUCUACACAAAUAUAUCACAACCUAAAACUAAUUUCACCUUAGUUCAACAUAUUCCCAGGACUAAAAGAUUUAUCUACUCAUGAAGAAAAAUGGGAAAUAUAAACCAGAAGGAUUGUUCAAGACAUCUAUAUUUCACAAAUACCAAAUUUCAAAUCUCCAAAUCAAAUAAAAAUUCUUGCUUAAUUUAGAGUUUUAAUUUCAAAUUCAAAGUAUUUCAAGUUUCUAGAAUUCCUAAAAUGGGAAAGGGUUUUAAGCUUUUAAGGGAUUUUGGGUCGGUUGCUAAAAAUUACAAAACUAUUCUUGGGCCUAAUCUCGCAUUGCCACAAUCACACUAGGUUUACUGCAGUCAUGGAUACCUUAACCACUAUUAAAUCCACGUGAUCGUCGUUGUUGACCUUCUUGACUGGCUAUGAUCGCGGCCCUCAGACCGCGAUUAUGGUAUAUGAGGCCUAUUUUUGCUUCAGGUCUUCCAGCUGCACUUCUUUUCUCUUUUUUUAUCCUUUAUAACUCAAUUCCAUACCUUUCCAUCUCAUGACCUGUAUGCUUGCAAAAUAUGGAUAAUAGUGUAUUUAAUUAUGCAUAUGUCUUAUUUAUAUAUUUAAAUCAUAGUAAUAUGUAGGAAUGUUGAGUGGAAAUGAGUGGUAAAUUCAUCACUCAUUAGUUAUAGGUGUCCUAUUGGUUGGUUUAAGGUUGGUCAAAAAAUAAGUUGUUUGGCCCUGAUUUUCUUUAACAAGCUAUUGAGAAGUUGAAGGUGAUUUGUGAUAGAAUUAAAGCCGCCCAAAGUCUAUAAAAAUUCUAUACAAAUAUGCGGCAAAGGGAUUUGGAGUUCAGUGUUAGUGAAUGGAUAUUUUUAAAGGUAUCCCCUUUGAAGGGAGUGAUGAGGUUUAGUAAGAAGGGGAAGCUCAAUCUUUAUUAUAUAGAUCCGUACUUAGGGUUGAAGAAGGUUGGUAAUGUUGCAUAUGAAUUGGAGUUGCCUUCUAGUUUGAUCUCUAUUCAACUGGUGUUUUAUAUUUUAAUGUUGAAAAAGUUUGUGGGUGAUCCUUCAAUGGUUGUUCCUUCGGAGGAGGUAGGUAUUUCGAAUUCCUUGUCUUAUGAGAAAGUCCUGGUUGAGAUUUUGGAUUGGCAAGUUCGUCAGUUAUGGACCAAGGAUAUGGCAUUGAUAAAGGUUCUUUGGAGGAACCAAAAGGUUAAUAAAGCUACGUAGGAAGACGAAGAGGACAUAAAGUCUAAGUACUCAUUCUUGUUUCUAGUUUUGGAUAAUCUUGUUUAAGAUAUGUGUAUUCCUUGACAUAUUUGUUUUCAAACUUUGUUAAGGAAAAUGGUGAUUUCCUUGGCAUCUUUAUUUUCUAUCUUUGGUAAAGGUAAGAGUGGUGGUAUGUGGAGUCAAAUCAUGCUAAUAAAUAUCAUGUCCUAAAAUUUGAGGAUGAAUUAUCCUAGGGGGAGUAUGUAACGUCUCGAUUAUGGGUCCUAAAAAUUUUUUUGAGUUACGAGCAUUUUACCCUGGUAACAACUCGCCUAAAAAGUCUUAAUAUGUCUUGAUGGGUCAGGUUACCCUAGUCGUAAGGUGUUUAGUAGAUGGUGCUUGAGUUAUUGUUCUGAAUAUGACUUAGGUGUACGAGUCGCAGGGAGUUUUAACAGGUCCUAUGGAACCAAUCGUAACCAAAUUAGAAUUAAGUGGCUAAGAUUUGAUCUGAGUAUGAGUGGCUCACUGUGAGCCAUAAGGACUUGCUACGGUUAUUAGGUGCAAAUUGUAGGAUGUCCCAUGUUUACCCAAUUAGGUUCUGUGUUGAAUACAACUGGACCCUACGAUUCAUAUGGUCUUAUUAUGAGUGGUACAAGUUGAGUCAUAAGGUCAAUAGUAUGUGAGGGUCCUAGAGACUCUUUCGGUUAUAACUUGUGGUGCCGAGUUGUAAGGAAUGGCAACAAGUCAACAGUUGACCUAUAAUCAAUCGCAAUACUUUUUCAGGACAUUUUGGAUAUUUUCCACUUGUACAAAUUUCAACCCAUGUCUUAUAGCCCUUUUAGAGUGUCAUUAUAACUCCAAAAUAAAUCUAAGUAACUUUUCAAACACUUAAAAUAUCUCUCUAAAUUCCCUCAAGCGAGUCAAGCUAGGGUUUUAUCAAGUUGGUCAUCUAAGGGAUCAAGGGCCAAUUUAUCUAAAAAUUUAUUGGUAUUGAAGAUAUGUUACUCUUCCCUCAUUGUUAAUUUGUUAAAAGGAUAACUUUUAAAGUAUUGUUCAUGAUAUUCAUGUUGGUUUAGUAACAAGGGUUGAGGAUUUUGAAUGUUUGUUGUUGAACAAUGUUUUGUCGCGGUUUACAUAGGAUUUUUCAUUAUUUUAUAAUGAUUUUAAACUUGUGGGAGCAUGAGUAUGGUGAAUGGACUAAGGAAUUCUUAUUUUCUCCAAACUUGUGACUUUUGAAGUGGAAAUGACCAUAACCCCAUAAUGUGAAAUUGAUUUUUAAUUAUAAGAAAUGUGGGAAUUUGUAAAAUUAAACCAAGGAGGUUGUGAAUUUUCCCAAAUGAUGUAAUUGUUUUGGCAUGUUGUUGUUAGCUUGCAAGUGUAGUUGGUAUAACUAUACCAACAACGUAUGCCCAAAUGUGUAUUGUCUUUGAAUGAAUGGGAUUAUGUAAUAAAUGUUUUAAUUGGUCUUUAAUGGGGGUUGUAUAGCUGAGUCAUGAAAGUGAAGGUCAAACUAAUCAAUACUGGAAAUUGCAUUUGUCAAUGCAGGGGUCAAAGUAACAAAGAAGGUUUGAGUCCUCCUCAUUAUUAUAACAUGAUUAGAGAGGUUUGAGCCCCUCGUAAAUUAUCAUAUGAUCGGGUUCUUAAGUAAGACACCCAAGUUUCUAGAACUUACAAAAUUUCCUUGAUUUUUGGUUUUUGGGAAAGAUACGACUUAGGGGAAUGAGUCCUACACUUGGGUCCGGUUGGUAUGGUCCAAUCAUAAGCUUACCAAUAUGUAUUGGUGGGAUAGAUAUAGUUUCUGGAAUGGGUACGACUUGGUGGUAUGAGUCGUACUAUGGAUAGAGUCAUUUUAUUUCAUCACUUAACCAUAAAUAUUGUAGGAUAAGUUGGAUUUGAGUACUAGUGGCUCUCGAUGAGCCAUAAGCUAGGGCAUGAGUUGUACCCAGGACUCAUAUAGUAGUCAGUAUUCAAACAUUCUGUAUUCUAUUCUACUAGGUGUAUAUUUUAUGGGUACUAGUCAUACACUUGAAUACGACUUGGGUUUAGGUGUGUCAUACCUUGGACAGUGUUAGGUCCAAGGGGAAAAACCUAGGGUACGAGAGGUAGGUACCACUCGUAUAGAAUGGGUAUGACUCGUAAGGGCCAGUCAUACCCUAUGACAGAAAUUUAAUGUAGUUUAAGUGAGGGCAAUCUGAGCAUUUCCCCACUUACCUUAAUAAGGUCCCACAACUUAUAUAGAACUUGGAAGGCUAUUUACCUUAUUAUUCUAUUCUUAAACAUUUGGAAAACACUAUUAAAUCCUCUCUAGAGUUCUUGGGCGAAGAAACCUAGGGUUUCAUCUUUAGGAGUAAAUUGGGGCCUGUCUUGGUGAUUUCUCUCCAUUAUCAUCUUGGUUUAAGUCAUUUUCUCUUCCCUCGUUGUUAGUUCCAACUAAAGGCAUGAUUUUAUAUAAUGUUUUUAUGAUUUGAAUGUUGUAUGAUUUUGGGUUUUCAAAUAUGAUUUGGGGUUUUUGGUUAUAAAUGCUUGGUUAUGUUUUUCCCAUGCUUUAAUUAUCCUUUUAAAUGCAUUACUUGUAGUUUUGGAUAAUUGGUUACUUGGGAAUAGUUCUUUGGUAAUGGACUUUGGUUUUGGAAAUACUAUGCCCUCAAUGUGUUUCAUAAAAUGCCUAUAACAAUGUUUUCACUAUAAUAGUGAUUUUUCAAUGGAACUUAUGCAUUGUUUAAACUUGGCAAUUGAACCCUAAAUGAUAUGAAUGGUUUAAAUGGUUUCUAAUGGAUUGGAAAGGCCUUGGUUUCCAUGGUUUUGGUUAAUUAAAAAUCAAGUGGGGUACAUGGAAAUCCCCUAAGGAUUGCUAAGGACAAUACUUGCAAGUAACUGUUUGUAUAAUGAUAACACUACUACUAUCCUUGGUUAAUAAUAAUGGAAUAAUGGUCUGGUUGGAAAAUGGAUUUAAUGGUCUUAAAGGAGGGAUGUGUAGCAAAGACAUGGAAGGUGGAGGUCCUGGGGGGAUCUAAACUGGAAACUCAUAUUUGUCGAUAUGAGGUUUUGUCCUAGUGACGGUGUGCAUUAUGUCACACUAUAUAUUUUGGGGGAUGUAUUAGUCAUCCUAGGUUAUCUUCCCUAGUCUUUCGGCUUCACGUAUUGGGGCCCUUUUAGCAGGGGCAGCUAUGCCCAUAUAGCCCGUGGGUAGUUUAGGACGGUAAAGCUACAUAACCCAGGUAAAGGUUUUAAUGGCAUGCUUAACCCGGUCCCUUUUCUCGGCAUAGUUAUAUAUAUAUUUAUGGUUGUGUGAAUAUGGAUGGUUUUUACUUGGUUUUGUAAAGGACAUUAUUUUAUCCUUAUCCUGAGUUCAUGCUAGCAUUCACCAUAACCCUUGUUUUGGCGUUGUAUCCCCACACGAUGCAGGAACCAACUAUUCUACUCCUACUACUUAGCGAUUCAGACUUCAAGGUCAAUAUUUGGAUUGAAAUAGUAUGCUUACAUUAUUCCAGAAGGCUUAAUUUCAUGGAUUUUAUUUCAUACCUUUACUUGUUUAUGGAUAUUGAUUUUAGCUAUGGUUGAGGGUAUGUACCAACAGGAUUUUGGUAUUAUUUUGGUUAGAGGUUUUGUAGUACUGCUAUAGGUUGGUAUGAGAGAGAUCAGUAUUGGUGUCAGCCUUAAUAUUGACAUUGGUAUUGGGGAUGACAUCAUUGGACAUAAUUUCUCACUAUUCCAACUUAUUUUACUUUGGGGUUAACCAUAUUAUGAUUUGGAACUCAUUUGGCUAUGUCCCUUGGUUCGGUAUUAGUUUGGCUAGGUGGUUUAUUUGGUAUGGUUUGGGGAAGGGGAUGACUUGGUAGGGUUGGUCUAGGAAUAGACCUAUCCCAAAGCAAGUCCUUGUCCAGUUACAAUAUCUUUUGAUGUGUUCUAAAUUUAUCCAACUCAGGGCAGGCAACUUAUGGUUGGGAUGGGUAAUGGGGGUGGUCUCCGAUCCCGAUUGGACUUGGGAUUCCUAUUACAACAAGGCCCGCAGAUUAGGUCGGGCCAAGUUGGUAUCAGAGCUUUAGGUUUAUGUUCAAUUGGGAGUCCACAAUGUUUUAUCUUGUAUAAUCUCUUUAAGGGUGUGUAAUGCGCCACACUUAAAAGAGAGAGGCCAUAAGGCAUUUAAAAAAUUUUCACUUUCUUGGUAUUCUAUUUUAAAGCUUGGAGUCUAAGUCAUGGAAUUCCACUCUAAUCCUUGGUUGUUCACAUUUUGGAUCAUGCCUAAACGAUCUGGAACACAAAUAAACUCUUCAAUUCUAUCUAGGAACAAUGUUGAUGGGGUAUGUCCUAUGUUUGGAGUUCGACCUCAAUCUCAGGGUCCUAUCCCUGAUUAUUCUGGAAUUUCUCUGAUUGAUACUAGUCCUCCUCAAGGUGAGGUGACCAAUGCAGAAUUUCGCAAGUUUAUUCAUUUUAUUGCUCAGUUGGUUACUAUUCAGGUUGAGCGGGAUGCAUCUAGUGAGUUAUCUAUUGAGGCCAUAAUGGUUGGUCAGUUUAUGAAACUAAAUCCUCCUACUUUUACUGGCGUGAAGAUGGAGGAGGAUCAUUAGGUUUUCUUGGACUAAAUAGAGAAGAUAUUCAGGGUGAUCCAGGCUACUAAUGAGCAAGGUGUAAACCUUACAACUUAUCAGCUUAUGGAUGUUGCAUACCAAUUGUAUGGAGAGUGGGAUAGGGAUAGAGGUAAUGUAGAGAAGAUGUCCUUAUAGGAUGCUUUCUCUGGUGCUUUUUUGGAUUAUUUCUUUUCUCAAGAGUUGAGGAAAGCAAAAAUGGAGGAGUUUAUGAAUCUUAAGCAAGGAUAAUAUUUGUGACGGGAUAUGCCUUGAAAUUUAUUAGAUAUCAAGGUAACCUCCUAAUUUAGUGGCUGACAUGAGAGCGAGGAUGAGGAAGUUUUCUUUGGACCAUCUCAGGAUUCGAUCUUGAAGAGCAAGACUACUUUGCUGAUCAAGGAUAUGAACAUUUCAAGGUUAGUUGUCAAUAUGCAGUAGGUGGAGGAUGAAAAGAGAAAAUAGGCGGAGUUUAGAGAUAGAUAAGGUAAGAGGAGUAGGUUUUCAGAACAUGGAGGUGUUUCGUCACAAGGUGGUCGAAAUGGAUGCAAAUAGCCAAAAAAAAAGUGAUCCAUCUCUACUGCUAGCGCUCCUUACCCGAGGUAGUGGGGUGAUAGGUGAUAGCAAGGUAGAGAUAAUUUCUUGGCACAAGAUGCCCAAAAUUAGGCAAGUGGGGUUGGCUUCUUUAUGCCCUUCUUUCUAUUUCUAUAGUCAUCUUCAUCGGGGUUAUUAUGAUGAAGUAAGGGACAAGUGUUUUAAAUAUGCUAGCCAUGCCAUAUGCUCAAGAGUUAUCUAGUUGGUAUGGGAGCUUCGAGAGAGGUCAAGGCUUCGAGCUCUUUAUCUUCUGAUCUUGUGCCUAGUGGUGUGGCUUCGGUGUUUGGUCCUGCUUAUGGUACCGACACUGGCCGAAAUAGGUUGCAUGCUCUUGUAUCUCAGUAGGAGUUUGAGGCAUCACCUGAUGUCAUUACUGGUACGUUAUAAAUCUUUUCUUGUGAUGUGAAUUUUUUAUUUAAUCUAUUGUCUACUCUUUCCUAUGUGGCCCCAUAUAUGGCUGUAUCUAUUGGUUUUGAUCCUGAGAUUGUUUCAAAUAUUUUUUCCAUUUCUAUCCUGGUAGGUGACUCAAUUAUUGCUAAAAGAGUCUGUAGAGGCUGCGUGGUAUCCAUUUGUGGUAGGUAAACUUUGUUAGAUUUGUUAAAACUUGAUAUGAUAGAUUUUGAUGUUAUUUUGGGGAUCGACGAUUACACUUUUCUUAUUUGUACUUGGAUUGUCAGACCCAUAAGGUUGUCUUUAGGUUUCUUGGUGAACCGAUUAUAGAGUGGAAGAGUGGUUCCCUACUCAUAGGGGGAGGUUUAUUUCUUAUCUUAGAGAUCGGAGUUUAGUUUCUAAAGGUUGUAUUUAUCACUUGGUCCAAGUUAAAGAUCCUAACUCAGAAGUUUUUUCUUUUUAUUCAAUUUUGGUGGUAAAUAAGUUUCAUGAGGUCUUUCUGGAUGAUCUUCCUGGUGUUCCUACGGAUAGAAAAAUAGUGUUUGGUAUUGAUUUAGUUCUGGAUACUCCUCCAAUAUCUAUUCCUCCUUAUAGAAUGGCUCCGGUUGAGUUGAGGAAACUCAAGGAGCAACUUAAGGAUCUUCUAGGUAAGGGGUUUAUUCAUCCUAGUGUAUCCCUAUUGGGUGCAUCGGUGUUGUUCAUGCACAAGAAGGAUAGUUCCCUUUAUUUUUGCAUUGACUAUCAGUAGUUGAUUAAGGUAACGAUCAAGAACAAUUAUCCUAUUCAAAGGAUAGAUGACUUGUUUGACCAAUUGCAAGGUGCUAAGUUCAUUUCUAAGAUAUAUAUUCAUUCUAGGUAUCAUCAGCUUAAGAUUAGGGAGAAGGAUAUCCCUAAAAUGGCUUUUCAUACUUGGUAUGGACACUUUGAAUUCUUUGUGAUGUCAUUUGGUUUGACUAAUGCCUCAUUGGUGUUUAUGUACUUGAUAAAUAGGAUUUUUGGGCAAUUCUUGGAUCUUUUCGCCAUUGUGUUUAUUGAUGAAAUUCUAGUUUAUUCCAAAAGUGAGGUAGAUCACGCUAAUUACCUCCAUAUCGUAUUGCAGACCUUGAAGGAAUAAUAAUUGUAUGCCAUGUUUUUCAAGUGUGAAUAUUUUAUGAACAUUGUGACUUUUUCUUGGUCAUAUUAUUUCUAACGAGGGGAUCAUGGUGGAUAUGCAAAAAGUGGCUUAGACCCAUGACUCCAACUGAUAUUUAGAGCUUCUUAGGGUUUAUUAGGUAUUAUCAGUGAUUUCUACAGAGCUUUUCGAUGAUAGUUACUCCUUUGACAAAGAUGACUGAAAAAGCUAAAGAUUUUUUGCUCGAAUGCUAACUUUGGCUUCUAUCCUUACAUUGCCUGAGGUUAGUGAAGGGUUUGUGGUUUAUUAUGAUGCAUCUAGUGUGGGACUUGGUUGUGUUUUGAUGCAUCAUGGGAAAGUGAUUACCUAUGCUUCCAGGCAGUUGAAGGUAUAUACAUCCUAUCUAUUCUAGAUUCAGUGGUCACAGUUAUUAUGUUGAAGGAAGGGACAAGUGUUUUUAAUAUGCUAGCCAUGCCAUAUGCUCAAGAGUUAUCUGGUUGGUAUGGGAGCUUCGGGAGAGGUCAAGGCUUCGGGCUCUUUAUCUUCUGAUCUUGUACCUAGUGGUGUGGCUUCGGUGUUUGGUCCUACUUAUAGUACUAACACUAGCCGAAAUAGGUUGCAUGUUUUUGUAUCUCAGUAGGAAUCUAAGGCAUCACCUAAUGUCAUUAUUGGUACAUUAUAAAUCUUUCCUUUUGAAGUGUAUUUUCUAUUUAAUCUGUUGUCUACUCUUUCCUAUGUGGCUGUAUGUAUUGGUUUUGAUCCUGAGAUUGUUUCAAAUGUUCUUUCCAUUUCUAUCCUGGUAGGUUACUCGAUUAUUGCUAAAAGAGUCUGUAAAGGGUGUGUGGUAUCCGUUUGUGGUAGGUAGACUUUGUUAGAUUUAUUAAAACUUGAUAUAAUGGAUUUUGAUGUUAUUCUAGGGAUCGACGAUUACACUUUUCUUAUUUGUACUUGGAUUGUCAGACCCAUAAGGUUGUCUUUAGGUUUCUUGGUGAACGAUUAUAGAGUGGAAGAGUGGUUCCCUACUCAUAGGGGGAGGUUUAUUUCUUAUCUUAGAGAUCGGAGUUUAGUUUCUAAAGGUUGUAUUUAUCACUUGGUCCAAGUUAAAGAUCCUAACUCAGAAGUUUUUUCUUUUUAUUCAAUUUUGGUGGUAAAUACGUUUCAAGAGGUCUUUUUGGAUGAUCUUCCUGGUGUUCCUAUGGAUGGGAAAAUAGUGUUUGGUAUUGAUUUAGCUCUGGACACUUCUCCAAUAUCUAUUCUUCCUUAUAGAAUGGCUCCGGUUGAGUUGAGGGAACUCAAGGAGCAACUUAAGGAUCUUCUAGGUAAGGGGUUUAUUCAUCCUAGUGUAUCCCUAUUGGGUGCACCGGUGUUGUUCUUGCACAAGAAGGAUAGUUCCCUUUAUUUUUGCAUUGACUAUCAGUAGUUGAUUAAGGUAAUGAUCAAGAACAAGUAUCCUAUUCAAAGGAUAGAUGACUUGUUUGACCAGUUGCAAGGUGCUAAGUUCAUUUCUAAGAUAUAUAUUCAGUCUAGGUAUCAUCAGGUUAAGAUUAGGGAGAAGGAUAUCCCUAAAAUGGCUUUUUGUACUUGGUAUGGACACUUUGAAUUCUUUGUGAUGUCAUUUGGUUUGACUAAUGCCUCAUUGGUGUUUAUGUACUUGAUAAAUAGGAUUUUUGGGCAGUUCUUGGAUCUUUUCGCCAUUGUGUUUAUUGAUGACAUUCUGGUUUAUUCCAAAAGUGGGGUAGAUCAUGCUAAUUACCUCCAUGUUGUAUUGCAGACCUUGAAGGAAUAAUAAUUGUAUGCAAUGUUCUCUAAGUGUGAAUUUUUUAUGAACAUUGUGACUUUUCUUGGUCAUAUUAUUUCUAACGAGGGGAUCAUGGUGGAUCUGCAAAAGGUGGCUUAGACCUAUGACUCCAACUGAUAUUUGGAGCUUCUUGGGUUUUACUGGAUAUUAUCAGUGAUUUCUAGAGAGCUUUUCGAUGAUACUUACUCCUAUGACAAAGUUGACUCUGAAAAAGCUAAAGUUUUUUUGCUCGAAUGCUAACUUUGGCUUCUAUCCUUACAUUACCUGAGGGCGGUGAGGGGUUUGUGGUUUGUUGUGAUGCAUCUAGUGUGGGACUUGGUUGUGUUUUGAUGCAUCAUGGGAAAGUGAUUACCUAUGCUUCUAGGCAGUUGAAGGUAUAUACGUCCCAUCUGUUCUAGACUCAGUGGUCACAGUUAUUAUGAUGAAGCAAGGGACAAGUGUUUUAAAUAUGCUAGCCAUGCCAUAUGCUCAAGAGUUAUCUGGUUGAUAUGGGAGCUUUGGGAGUGGUCAAGGCUUUGGGCUCUUUAUCUUCUUAUCCUGUGCCUAGUGGUGUGGCUUCGGUGUUUGGUCCUGCUUAUGGUACUGAUUACACUUUUCUUAUUUGUCCUGGGUGCACCAGUGUUGUUCGUGCACAAGAAGGAUAGUUCCCUUCAUUUUUUCAUAGACUAUCAGUAGUUGAUUAGGGUAACGAUCAAGAACAAUUAUCCUUUUCAAAGGAUAGAUGACUUGUUUGACCAGUUGCAAGGUGCUAACUUCAUUUCUAAGAUAUAUAUUCAAUCUGGGUAUCAUCAGCUUUAGAUUACGGAGAAGGAUAUCCCUAAAACGGCUUUUCGUACUUGGUAUGGACACUUUGAAUUCUUGGUGAUGUCAUUUGGUUUGACUAAUGCCUCAUUGGUGUUUAUGUACUUGAUAAAUAGGAUUUUUGGGCAGUUCUUGGAUCUUUUCGCCUUUGUGUUUAUUGAUGACAUUCUGGUUUAUUCCAAAAGUGAGGUAGAUCAUGCUAAUUACCUCCAUGUUGUAUUGCAGACCUUGAAGGAAUAAUAGUUGUAUGACAUGUUCUCCAAGUGUGAAUUUUUUAUGAACAUUGUGACUUUUCUUGGUUAUAUUAUUUCUAACGAAGGGACCAUGGUGGAUCUGAAAAAAGGUGUCUUAGACCUACGACUCCAACUGAUAUUUAGAGCUUCUUAGGGUUUACUGGGUAUUAUCAGUGAUUUCUAGAGAGCUUUUCGACGAUAGUUACUCCUUUGACAAAGUUGACUCUGAAAAAGCUAAAGUUUUUUGGUCAAAUGCUAACUUUGGCUUCUAUCCUUACAUUGUCUGAGGGUACUGAGGGGUUUGUGGUUUAUUGUGAUGCAUCUAGUGUGGGACUAGGUUGUGUUUUGAUGCAUCAUGGGAAAGUGAUUAUUACCUAGGCUUCCAGGUAGUUGAAGGUAUAUACGUCCUAUCUGUUCUAGACUUAGUGGUCACAGUUACAUGGACUGUUUAUAUUGGGUGGUGGGAAGUUACACGUAUCUCAUGAAAUUUAUGAAUUACUCAAGUUACAUGCAAGCAAGCCCACACACCACAACUAUGAAAAACAAAAGAUAUAUCAUAACUUCAGAUUAACAUUUCUCCCAUAACCAGACAAACAUUAACAUUAUUGUUUCCAAAAGAUCAUGAAAACUUUAUUAUUGAUUGUUCUAUAACAAUAUUGAAAGAACCUCACCUUUUAUACAAUCAUGCCAAUCAAUAAUUAUGAAGAAAUAAAAGAUGUAAAACAAAACAAGUAUAGGUCCUAUCUGUUCUCACCUUGGUGGACACAGUUACAUAGACUGUUUGCUUUAUGUGGUGGGAGGUGACAUGUAUCUCAUGAAUUUUAUGAAUUAGUUGAACUGCAUGCAAGCUGGACCCACACAAAACAAUAAUAAAAAACAAAACAAAACCAACAUCAACAGAGUGUUAUUCCCAAAAAAUCAUAAAAACUUCAGGCAAAAUUGUUCUAUAUUUAUUCAAGAUCAUUUACAAGACUAAUAUAAAGAACCCCAAAAUCCCAUUAUAGCUCAAAAUGAAGAAAUUAAAAAUAAAAAUUACAUAAAUACAAAGAAAAGAAAAUACAAAAACCCCAUUUGUCUUACAUAAUUAAAAUUUCUUUUUGAAACAAAAUCUUGAAAUUUAGUAAAUGGGGUUUAAAAAAACAAUAGUCCGCAGGGAAGGUAAGUAAACGUGGUUACAACUUUGGCGGCUGUACUUUUGAAAAAUUUGUUCACUACAUAUAUAUAUCCUUAGGUUUUUUUUGCUUUCUUUUAAGAUUUCUUUUGCUAAGAGAGUCUGUAGAGGGUGUGUCGUAUCUGUUGGUGGAAGGAAGACUUUGGUAGAUUUGUUAGAACUUAAUAUGGUGGAUUUUGAUGUUAUUCUAGGGGUUUAUUGGUUACACUUCUCUUACGUGUCGUUGGAUUGUCGGACCCAUAAGGUUGUCUUUAGGUUUCUUGGAGAACCAAUUAUAGAGUGGGGGGGUGGUUCCCUACUCAUAGGGGGAGGUUUAUUUCUUAUCUUAGAGAUCGGAGUUUAGUCUCUAAAGGUUGUAUUUAUCACUUGGUCCAAGUUAAAGAUCCUAACUCGGAAGGUUCUUCUUUUCAUUCAGUUUUGGUGGUAAAUAAGUUUCAUGAGGUCUUUCCAGAUAAUCUUCCAGGUGUUUCAACAGAUAGGGAAAUAGAGUUUGGUAUUGAUUUAGUUCCAGACACUUGCCCAACAUCUAUUCCUCCUUAUAGAAUCGAUUUGGUUGAGUUGAGAAAAUUCAAGGAGCAAAAUAAGGAUCUUUUGGGUAAGGGGUUUAUUCGUCCUAGUGUAUCCCCAUUGGGUGCACCGAUGUUUUUCGUGCAAAAGAAGGAUAGUUCCCUUCAUUUUUACAUUGACUAUCAAUAGUUGAUUAAGGUAACGAUCAAGAACAAGUAUCCUUAUGAAAGGACAGAUGACUUAUUUGACCAGUUGCAAGGUUCCAAGUUCAUUUCUAUGAUAGAUAUUCGGUCUGGGUAUCAUCAACUUAAGACUAAGGAGGAGGCUAUCCCUAAAAUGGCUUUUCGUACUUGAUGUGGACACUUUGAAUUCUUUGGGAUAUCAUUUGGUUUGACUAAUGCCUCGGCGGUGUUUAUGUACUUGAUGAAAAGCGUUAUUUGGCAUUCUUGGAUUUUUCGUCAUUGUGUUUACUGAUUACAUUCUGGUUUAUUCCAAAAGUGAGGUGGAUCAUGCUAAUCACCUCUGUAUGGUAUUCCAGAGCUUGAAGGAAUAGCAGUUGUAUGCCAAAUUCUCCAAGUAUGAAUUUUUGUUGAACAUUGUGACUUUUCUUGGUCAUAUUUGUCAUGCCACAAAUUCCAUUGGGGCGCACGGCACCUAUUUUUGGAGAACUAACUCUAACCCUGUACUUUUUAUGCAUGUAACUAUGGAAUUCAAAGGUUCUGCUAGUAUGGAUAUGAUGCAUUGAUAAAAAAAAAAGACGUAAGUAAUCCCAAACCUACAUAUACAAUACUUGGCCAUUGGGGCCACAAAGUUAAAAGAACACAAUACCACCACACUUAACUUCACAUUAGUCUACAAACCCUUUAAAAGACACAUGGACUUAGUUAAGGUCAGGGCAAACCCCCUCCUUGCUCAGAACUACUAUACAAUAUCAAAUAUACAUAUAAUAGAAGCUCCAAAUCAACUUGGAGCUCACCAACAGCAGCUGGAUGUCGUGUUCUCCUACUGGGUGGUCUACUAGCUGGAGUACCUGUACCUACAACAUGAAACAUAGUAUCCCCCACGAGGAGUGUCAAUACAAAGAGUGUACUGAGUAUGUUCAGCAUGAAGUGACUAUAAAUAAGACUAUAGCUUAACAAAAUCAGUUAUCAAUAAAUAACUAUAAAGAUAAGGUUAGAAUACCAACUUUGCUUGUACUUAUGGGAUCAUGUACAUUACAUUCUUUACUUUUCUUUCUUCUUCUUUACUUUAUAAGAUUAUAAGACAUAAUAAAAAUGACCAGUUGAUCAGUGGUAAAAGAGGAUGACCCAUGCUAGGCAUUUUAACCCCUGGGAUAUGUUCCUCAUAAGUACACAAAUCAGAAUCGACCCAUGAUAGGCUUUCCUUUCGCCCCUGGGAUACCACCCGUAAUGUUGGGAUCGACCCGUGCUAGGUGUUCCUUCCACCCCUAGGAUACCAUCCAAAAAUAUAUAUAGAAUCACUUCAUAUCAUUCUUUUCAUCUUUAAAGUUGUUUUUUGGUGGUCAUGUGUUAGAUUUGGAACUCUGGACUAGUAGCAAAAGGUAUGGAAAUAUGCACUAGAUGCAGUAGUAAUAAGGUAGAAUACAAGAAUAAUAGAAAUAUAACACAUAGGAGCAUAACUAACACAUGGGUCAUGUUAACUAAGAGAACAACUCGUAAGGCUUAUUUAUGAAAGCACUUAUAUCAUACUAGUAUUUAGAAAGGAAAAUGGAUAGAUCUAGUAACAAACAUAUCUUUAGGUGCUUUAACAACCUAACAAGUUAGAAUAAGGUUGUUAGCCACCUUGGAGGUUGUAUGCUACAGUUAUGCAUAACUUGAAAGGAAGAACUCUUAGGAAGCUUACUUUUUAACAAAGGAGUUAGAUUUAUGCCAAAGAGUACAGGAUCGAGGAACCAUACAUACCUUGCUGCACAAUUGAUCACACUUUUACUUACCAUCUUCCUAUUUAAAUUACUAAUCUACAAUAGCAUAAGACUAGUAUUAGUAGCUAAUUAAUUUAUUCACGCCAUUUAAACUUACUAAGAAAGUAACCGGGUAGUAACCCACAAUCAACUAAUCCAAGGGUGUUCUCUCAACCUCGUUCUUCUCCAAUUACAUUCACAUGCAAUGUAACUUCUUAUAAGAUCCCCUUAACAGAUUUGUUUUAAUUUUUCUUCUCAAAAUAGUAUAUCAAGUAAUGUGGGCAGUAAACUUAUGUGACAUUCAAUUCGGUGGUGUACCAUUAUACCCUUCUUCUACCUUUCAAUAGAGAUUAUUCACACCUUUCCCCCAACGUCAACCAAGCAGCCCCCAAUAUACAUACAUAAAAUAGAUCCAAAGUAUCCCUAAAUAUCCCAUAAUAUGGCAACCAAAAAUUGAACUCACCAUCCCUUGAGUUCUUAACAACAAUAUAUACACAAUCCUCUACCGACACAUGUAUAUAGGAAAAGGACAAAAAUGGAUAGUAGCCAUACCUUAAUUUCGGUGGUAGUUUAUUCCCUUAAUAUAUAUGUCUUCAAUAGCUUGAUCCCUUUACUCACAAACCAAAAGUGAAGAGAAAAAUCUCUUAAUAAUCAAGGAUAAAGGGACUGCCAAACUUAAAAAGGGAUAUCUUAUAGUUUAAUCAUGGAGAACAUAAUUCUUAUAGUAUUCUUAAGAUGUACCCAUGAUUUUAUCACUUCCCUUUAACUUGGAAGGAAGUUUUCCAAAAAACCCUAGUGGAAUUUUCGGGCUGCUGCUUAGCUAAAAGAGAACAAGAGAGAAAAUCUUGGAAGCUGUUUGUUUUUUUGGCCAGUUAAAAUGAGCUAUCAGGGCUGGUCUUAAUCCCUUUAAAAAGAGCUGCUCUUGGCUGACUUUCUUGGUUAUUUUUGGUCCAUAAUUUAUCAAGUAGUUGAUGCACCAACUUUCCGAUUAUAUUGGACCUUUGUCGAUUAAAAACUAUUGGGCCUUGGUUGCCCAUUCUCCUCCUUUUCUCUUCUUUAAUUUGGGCCAGAAUUAACAUAAGUAGGUGGUAGUGUAUUCGGCCCAAUAAUCUGGUAAAGGGAGCCUUAAUAGGUGUUGCACCUACUUAUUUGUCAAAAGGUUAGAGUAGGUGAUUCAACUACUAGCUUAAAUAAGUCAAACAAGCACCUCAAUAUUUUAUUCCAUUUUAAGAUCAAAAUGCUUAUAGUUAAACUUAAAACUUAUGUACACUUGGUCACUUCAUCCUUUAGAUUCAAAUACCUACUUAAGGGCCCAAGUUUAGAUACUCUCAUCGAUGGUAACUUAAUCAUACCAUGUUUCGAUAUAUGUGGGAAUUCCUUCAACCCUAUCUUACCACCGCUUAUCGCAAGGAUACCCGAGCCCAUAACCUGCCCCAUAAGUCCAUAUCAAAUGGCACAUGAGUAGCUCUAGUACCCGUGGAAUACAGAGUGUUACAUCCCACCUACCUUAGAAACAUUUGUCCUCGAAUGUCUAGCAUAACUAGCUAGCCUAAAUAAAUAUAAGACUAAGUUUAAACUCAUUUAUAUCCACAUAACACUUGUGUAGUCAUAGUUACUUGUUUAUGCCCCAAAUCAGCAUCCUUGGACCAAGUCUUUAGAUUUAAAUAAAUGAGUGUACUUUGACUUUAUUGCUUCUUUGGCUUCCCAUGUGAUUUCUUCUACUUGCGGGCCCCUCCAAAGAACUUUUACCGAAGCUACUUCUUUAUUUCUUAACUUCUUAACUUGCCAAUAUAGUAUAGUAGUAGGCACUUCUUCAUAGCCGAGUUCUCCCAUAACCUGCACAUCUUUAGUAAGAGUAAUAUGAGAUGGAUCUCCUAUGUACUUGUAGAGCAUUAAGACAUGAAACACCGGAUGCACCAUUGAAAGAUCUUAGGGUAGGUCUAACUCAUAUACCCCUUGGCCAAAUCUUUGAAUAAUUUUAUAUGGCCCUAUGUAGCAAGGGCUUAGUUUUCCCUUUUUACAAAACAUCAUUACCUCUUUCAUUGGAGAUACCUUCAAGAACACCCAAUCUCCUAAAGCAAACUCUAACCCUCUUUUUUUAGUAUCCGUAUAUGAAUUAUGUCACCUUUGAGCUAUUUCUACCCGUUGUUGUAUCACCUUAACUUUUUCUGUAGAUUGAUUAACAAGAUCUAGCCCAAAUAAGAUAGUUUCACCCACUUCAAACUACCCAAUUGGUGAUCUACACUUUCUACCAUAUAAAUUUUUAUAAGACGCUAUUUUGAUACUCGAGUGAUACUAUUGUUUUAUGCAAACUGAAUUAGUGGCAAAUGAUUAUCCCAACUGCCUUUAAAGUCUAAUAAAUAAGCACGCAACAUAUCCUCUAGUGUUUGGAUUGUACGUUCCUCCUGUCCAUCCAUUUGAGGGUGAAAAGUUGUGUUUAAACUCACUUGCAUUCCCAAACUCUUCUGGAAUGACCUCUAAAACUGUGUGGUAAAUUGAGAUCCCCUAUCAGAUAUAAUAGAGAUUGGGACUACUAUCUCUUUAAUAUAUAAUUUUUCAUACUCUUCAGCUGUGUACAUAAUCUUAACCGGUAGAAAGUGUGCUGAUUUGGUGAGUCUAUCAACUAUUACCUAUAUAGAAUCAAACUUUUGAGAUGAGCGAGGUAGAACAGUGAUAAAAUCCAUGUUGAUCAUAUCCCACUUCCAAGUUGGGAGCUCCAUAAGCUGCAUAUAACCUCCUGGCUUUUGGUGCUCCAAUUUGACUUGUGGACAAUUUAGACAUUCAGCUACAAAUUCUACAAUGUUCUUCUUCAUGCCUCCCCACCAAUACACUUCUUUCAAGUCAUGAUACAUUUUAGUUGAACCAGGAUAGAUAGAAUAUCUUGAAUGAUGUGCCUCCAUCAUAAUCUGCUUUCUUAGCCCAUCUACAUUAGGUGUCACACCUUGUUGUACAUUUUUCUUAAGUUAUAAAAGAAUAGGAUCUAUACAUUGUUUCUCUUUAACUUCAGCUACUAAUGAGGAUUCUGCUGCAUUUUGUACAAUAACGCCUUUUUCUGAAGAUUCAAUAAGGCGAACCCUAAGCUAGCUAAUUGGUGUAGAUCCCUAGUUAUCCCUUGCCUUUCCAUGGGAUGCCUAUAAUUACUUGCCAUCGCCUUAUGACUUAGUACAUCAGCUACCAUAUUUUCUUUGCCUGGAUGAUAUAAGAUAUCAAUAUCAUAGUCUUUUAAUAGCUCAAGCCAUCUUCGUUACCUCAAAUUUAGGUCCCUCUGGUUAAAGACGUACUGCAAACUCUUCUGGUCGGUAUGUAUAUCAACAUGUACCCCAUACAAGUAGUGGCGCCAUAUUUUUAAAGCAAAUUUAACUGCUGCUAGCUCAAGAUCAUGUGUUGGAUAAUUCUUCUCAUGUGACCGUAGUUGUCUUGAGGCGUAAGCAAUUACUUUACCAUGUUGCAUCAAAACACAUCCUAAGCCAACUCUGGAAGUAUCACAAUAUACUGCAUAGCUUUUUGUGCCAUCCAUAAGUACCAAUAUGGAUGUAGAAGUCAACUUAUUCUAUAAAUCUUGAAAACUUCUUCCACACAUUUCAUCCCAUUGAAAAUUAGUUUCUUUGUGUGUUUACUUUGUCAAAGGAGCAGAAAUAAAAGAAAACCCCUCAACGAACCAUUUAUAAUAACCUUCCAAGCCUAGGAAACUACGAACCGCCGUAGGCAUAAUGGGUCUUGAAAAGUUCUUCACUGCCUCUAUCUGUUGCGAAUCAAAUCUUAUUUCUUCAUCAGAUACAAUAUAACCCAAGAAUGCUACCGAUUUUAACCAAAACUCACAUUUGGAGGACUUUGCAUACAACUUACAAUUGCAAAGGAUUUGUAACACCUGUCGCAAAUGAUUAGAAUAGUUUUCUUCUGAUCUUGAAUACACCAUCAUAUCAUCUUUAAAUACAAUAACAAAUACAUCCAAGAAUGGCUUAAACACUCUAUUCAUCAAAUCCAUGAAAGCUUUUGGUGCAUUAGUUAGCCCAAAUUCCAUAACUAUAAACUCAAAAUCACCAUAUCGUAUUCAAAAAUCCAUUUUAGGUAUAUCUUUAUCCUUCACUCUCAGUUGGUGAUAACCUGACCUCAAGCCAAUCUUUGAGAAACACUUAGCACCUUGUAAAUGAUCAAACAAAUCAUCAAUUCUAGGAACGGGAUAUUUGUUCUUAAUUGUCACCUUAUUCAAUUGUCGAUAAUCAUUACACAAUUUUAACAAACUAUCUUUCUUUCAUACAAACAACACGGGUGCGCCCCUAGGAGAAAUAAUAGGCCUUAUGAAACUCUUUACCAAUAAAUCUUUUAAUUGUUCCUUCAAUUCGCGUAAUUCUGCAUUGACUAUUUUAUACAGGGAAAUAGAAAUCAGUUUAGUACCUAGGAUCACAUCAAUACCAAACUCUAGUUCUCUUUCUAGAGGUAAAACCAAAAGCUCUUUAGGAAAUACAUCAAGAAAUUAAUUUACCGCUAAGAUAGAUUAAAGAGUCGGUGACUCCGCCUCUUUAUCUUUCACCCUUACUAGAUGGCAUAUGUAUCCUUUUGACAUCAUCUUACUUGCAUUAAUAUAAGAAAUAAACUUACCCCUUGGUGCCCCUAUAUUACCCCUCCACUCAAGGAGUACUUCCUUUGGAAAAUAGAAAUGCACCCUUUUGGCUCGGCAAUCCACAAUGGCAUGA
rnacentral:lncRNA from 1 species